ACUUGAACAGGAUCUGUUCUAUAGGAUCGUACCGCUGCAUCCUUGACUAAUAAGGAGGCAAGCACUUAAGCCUGGUUGAUGAGUCAUGACCUGUGGGCCAGAGCGUGAUUAACGGCCAGGAUUGGCUUGAUGGCUGUAUCCAGUGCUGUAGAGGAUCGUUCCUGGCUAGGCCUGCUUAGCUUGGAUGGCCCAUGGGUUGUCUGACAGGCUCUUUUUUGUUUUUUUUGUUGUGCUGCAUUUGAAGACAAUUUGUGCAAAAUGUUAUCUUUGACAGCUGUCUUCUUGCUGAACAUUGCUCUCGAGUUAAAAGAGGCGGAUCUCUUGCUCGGUUUUGCCAUUAUUAAUAGAUUAUAAGCUUUCCUUUUCCUUUUUGCUGUGCUGCAUUCAAGGUAAUUGAUGUCAACAGCUGUCUUUUCCCUCAACAUUGAUUUCUUGCUCGUUUUUUUGUCAUUCAUACAGCAAGGAAGUUGUUCCUUUUGCUCUGCUGCAGCCUGCAUUUGAACAACUAUCUUUUCCCUCAACAGCUGCUCAACAUUGUUCUCAAUUUAAAAGGGGCAGAUCUCUUGCUCGUUUUUACCAUUAAUAGAGCAAGACUUGUUGUACAUUUUGUUUGUAAGUUGCUUCUUCAUCUCUGACUGUCCGCGAAUCUGCAUUAUUGUUGAGAAAUGGUGAUUCUUGGUGCUUGAUUUGUAAAAAGUUCACAGUUGUUUUAAUCUUUCUUUUUUGGUUCCAGGUACAAAUGAGUUACAUUAAAAAAACCAUACGUUUCAAAAAAAAAAAGAGUAAAACUGAGUCCCUGAACCUUGUGAGAGAUGUGCAUAAUACAGCCGUAUUCAGACUUCAGAGCAUGUCUGCACUCUGCAGUGCAAGUCUCAAUAUCUGCCAACUGCAAUGCAAAAGCUAUAGUCCUGCUGUUUACUUGGCCUUCAGCUCUGAGCAGCAACAACAUGCCUGUAUUAAAACCCUGCAUGCUUCUGUUUGUCACUGGCUGGCACAGGAUCCAUGGAGAAACCCAUGUGGGCUGCGGCCCAAUACAGAAUGCUAAUAAUCUACAUCUCUGUGAACUGAACCCUGACAAAACACUAGCUAAGAUGGUGCCACCUCGCAAACGCAAACAACUAUCAGCCAGCUUAUAAUGCUGAUCCUCGGCACUCACAGCACGACCUUACUUGAACAGGAUCUGUUCUAUAGGAUCGUACCGCUGCAUCCUUGACUAAUAAGGAGGCAAGCACUUAAGCUUGGUUGAUGACACAUGACUUGUGGGUCAGAGCGUGAUUAACGGUUAGGAUUGGAGCUGAGAUGCCUGAUCUGUGGCUGUAGAGGAUCGUUCCUGGUCAGACUUGGCUUGGCUGGGGUGGCUCACAGGUUGUCUGACAGGCUCACAUUUUUUUUCUCCUCUUUUGAAUCUGUUUUGCUAGGUAGACUUGGCAACUGGCAUGUGUAUGCUCAUCGAUAAAUACCACGAUUACUGCACAUAAGAAAGCACAUCGCUGCAUUUUUCCUAACGACACGUAUAUUGCCCUGAAAAUUCCACUACUUUGCUCCUCUUCUGAAUCUAUUUAGCAAGUUAGUGAUUAGUGAUUGUGUGGCAACUGGCAUGUGUAUGCGCAUCGAUAAUAAAUACCAUGAUUACUGCACAUAAGAAAGCACCUCGCUGCAUUUUGCUAAUGACACGUAUUUUGCCCUGAAAAUUCCAGUACUAUCCCAGUGGCCAGUGGCGCGCCCAGUGCCCAGCUUAACUAGAGGCUUCAUCGGCGGACACCUAACUGAACACUCAGACACAGCUUAUCCAUCCACUUAGCCGCAGACUGUUCCUGAAACUGAAAGCCUCCUUCCUGACGCCUUUUGCGAUGAAAUGAGUGUUGUAUGGCCGGUGUGGCGGUGCUGCAGCGGGGACAGAGCCUGAUGGAGCCAUAUGUCUCGCUGCAACUACAAGCAGAGCUAGGCUUUCGGUGUGGUACCCCAGCACCAGCACCAGCACGUAUCUAAUCAUCCCCCGAUGGAUCGGAUCCUUUUCGUGAUCUAUCUCUACUAGUCCCAAAAGCCGCCGUGUGCACAUGGCAAGGAUGGCACAAAGCCCCGGGCCAACUCGCCGUGUCUCCUGCUGGAGGAUUCCUCUGACACCGGCCAUGGCUUGGCUCCACACACACACAGAUCCUUUGCAAGUCUCAAACCCAAUUGCGUGCAAGAUGCAGCGCGCUCGCCUCUGAAAACAAGACUGGAGGCAGUAGGAUCUUAUGAGCAGCCCUUUGACUAUCUGAGAUGAAUGAUUGAGUCCGGUUGAAUUCACAGUUCUUCAGACCUGCAGCUUCAGCAGCAGCUAAUAGUAACGUGAUCACUCGCUGAAGUCCUGCCAAUGCUCGCAUGGCCAUGGCCUACAUGGUUGGUAGAUGCGCGUGUUAGUUUGCACCCUCAGACGACGAGACGACAGACUCCUCCAUGUUCUGUCUUGUGUCCUCCAAGUCCCAAUGUCGCAGGAAAAUGGCGGCAACACGGUUCAGGUCAAGGAGCAAUUGGCGGCCAAGGAAGCAAACCUCACUCUCUCGCUCUUCUGACUUUUUCCUUUCAUUCACGUACAGUACAGCUCUGAACGUUGCGCCGCAAAUCUUGGAGCUGCUCGAAUACACAGCGAUGUGUUGCUUCUCCUUUUGUCAACCGGCACUUAUGAUCCAGCUCCACAGAAACGCACGGAUUCGAAAUUUCGAAUCAAACAUGAUCGCACCAAGCAUCAUGCAUUCGACUAUAUUCGAGUUCGACGAGGAAUGAUUGAUGUCGAAACCUCCAACAACUGCCCUACAAAAAUUGCACGAAAACCACCUAGUACGUAGUAGUAGUAGCUAGUAGCUAGCUCGCUCUAGUCGAACUUGACCACUCAUUCAGUGUAGGCCGGAUCAGAGAGUCUGUUCAUUUGAGUUUUGAUCGAAUCUAUCAAUUAUUUAUUAUUAGUUUUUUUCUCUCAGAAUUAAUCAGCGAAUAUUACUUUUAACCAUAGCUUUUCACACAAGCGAACAAACUCUCUAGUACAAUAAAAGGAGAUGGCCAGCAGCUGGACAGCGGUCAUUAUAUUAGAAACUGGUCUCAGAUGUUCAUAUCGUCCACGCUAUGGCUGGUCCCUAAUACUAAGGCUUUGCAGUAUGCACCAGCAUGGUCUCCACCUCCAGUCAUCCACUGCAUUUGCCGGCGACGACGGGCAAUGCUGCACCUUCAAGGGAGAGAGCAUGCAGCUGACGUAAUGGGAGCGUCAGCGUGGAAGAACGAACGACGAAUGCACUCACGAACACUGCAAUCAUGCAAUGCAAUCUAGAGAAGACUCCAACUACAGCUUGCAAUUAGGCAAAUCAGCUAGAAAAAGUAUAUUCAAAAAACCAGAAAAAAGAAAAAAAAGGAAAAAAAGAAAUGGUAGUAUAUACUAGUAUAAAAAGGCGGAGGUCAAAAGGGGUUUGACCCGUGCACCCAGGCAGUGAAUGCGAUAGACACUGGCCUGCCUGAGCCUGACAGGCCCAUCCGGUUCGGCCCAUCUUACCUAACACAGCCACGAUGCGCCUCGUGGGCCCCGGAGGUCAGUGACGGACGGACGAGGAGAAUCUGUGGGCCUCGAGUCUGAGGUGGCGUCAGAGCCCACCUGAAACCCGAUGCACUGUUGGCAUGUGCAGCUUGGGGUCCAUGAGUGUUGACCGCCAUGUCGAUCCGUGUUUUUUUUCCCUCUCGCCCAGAUGGAGAGAGGUUUAAUUUUCAGCCGGUUCACACUCGCAACGUCAGUCAGUAACGAGUAAAGCAGGCAGCGAAACGGAUUUGGCAACCACGAAAAACAAGAGCCAUUAAAGAAAUACAUCUUCUUUAUAUGACCUUUUUUUAUUUUAAACUUAUUUGUAUGGUCUUAAAAUAAAAUUUUCUUCCUUUUAUGACCUUCUAUCUAUUUUUUACACCUAACGGUGUUAAGAGUAAAAUAACCAUUUUGCCCCUAGCAAAAAAUGCAGAGUUUUAUUUGUCUACUAUAUAUUUGUAGUAAUAUUGUGCAAAUAAAUUUGAAAAUGUACAUGUAAGUUUAUAGUAAAAUUACACAAAUAUGUUUUAAAAUGUACAAGUUUGUAGUAUUAUUACGCAAAUAAGUUUUAAAAUAUACUCGAGACAAACAAAACUCUGCAUUUUUUUGUUAUGAGUAAAGUGGUUGUUUUACCAUUGACUUAACACCGUCAAGUGCUAGAAAUGGAUGGAAGGCCAUUCAAGAAAGAAAAUUUCGUUUUGGAGCCAUAUAAGUAAGUUCAAAAUAAAAAAAAGUUAUAUAAGGAAGAUGCAUUUUUUCUAGAGUGUAAAUAUCUCGAAAAACAAUGUAACCACAGAGAAACAGAAGGAACUGAAAAGCGGCAGAGAGUAACCACAGCCAUACGUACUCUUGCUAGAUUAUUUUUCGGUUACACGAGCAGUAUCUGUCCCCCUUUUUUUCUUUUGCAGUUUGGCAUGCAUGUGUUGUCGUUUAAGUACGUAGUACGAGCGUGCGAUAUCGAUGUGCUGUAGAGGUAUCACACACAGGCUGGAUUGUGUGGAUCAUGGGUUGACUAGCUAGUACAGUAAUAUUAAAAAGCAGGGACUCUUGUACCAUGAAGCCAAGGCAUAUUCGCAUUCCGCAGUGUAUUCAAAUAGCAGAGACUCUUGUUCCCAAUUGCGUUCCAAGUGGGUGUUAUUAGUAAUAAGAGUGUUAACAACGUUCUACUAACAAGUAUAAGCGGCAGCACACACGCAUGUGAGUAGAUUCUGAAACGCUGUGCGGUUGACCUCUUGGUUGGACGGACGGAUCACGCACGCACCUAACCUGCUGCCCCCUGGAUCACUCUGGAUUGCAUGUUAGGCCGGUAAACACAUGCACAUCCACACUCAUCAGACAGACACACACACUCGCUCUCGUCGCACUGUCAUCAUUCGCUGAAUCAUCUGUUUAUUUAUUAUAUGAAAUCCCUUUGGCUUUUAUUUAUGCGCUGACAACGCGAGACGACGGCGACGCCGACAAGCGACGCAACGCAACCACCGCUAGGGUCCAGGGCGGAGGCCAAGCUUAGGUAGCCCGGCAGCUGUCGGACGGGGGAUCAACGCACGCAGACAACGCCACAGCCUACUACGAGGCGAGCAAAAGUCAGAGCACGCUUUGACCCAUUGCGACCCCGGUACAGGCAGACAACUGUUAGAAAAAAUAAUAAUGCCCCGAACCACAAUCACCAGGUCGUCGCCCCGGCCCGUGCCGUGUCAACGCCCAGCCUAACCGCGGCAAAAGCAGGUCGCACCCCCGCAUCGCGCGACGCGUCGUCCGACCCGCGCGCCGCCCCCGUCGCGUAGCUAGCAGCUAAGCUAGCACGAUCGGUCGGGAUUCCGGUGCUCGCCAGAGCCAGCCGCCACGUAAGUCAAACACGGCCGUCCGAUCCGAUCCGUCCGUUCCGUCCUAAUCAAACCCCUGCGAGACGCGACGCGCGAUGCGAUGCCAUCGGCCACGGGUCAACGUCGCCGAUCGACAUCGCUGUUGGGCUCAGCGUCGUCGUCGUCGAUCGUCUCGGUUCGGUGCACCGUGCGUGCACGUGUUACACAGCACGGUGCGGGGCGGAACGAGCUCUCGAUCGUCGUGUGGCCGCCGUGCUAGCUGCCACAAGUGCCGCGCGCACUAGCGAGGUGCUCGUACGGUGAACCCAGCUGACUGCCGCGGUGCCGCCCGUGGGCGCGCCGGCCGUGCGCAUGCAUGCGUGGGCCGGAACACGUCCGCGCCUCGCCGCCGUGCGUGCGUGUUCCGCACCGCUAGCGCCACCAACCGCGCGACGAUGUAGCCGGGCGGGCCUGAAUUGUUCUCUCUCCGGCCCGCACGGCGCGUCGAGUCGGAUCGGAUCGGAUAUUCGGAUGGGUUUUUGCGUCGUCGAUGGAGGUGCCCUCGGCGGCACGGCAGGGCAGGGCGCGCGGACGCGUUGCCGUCCACGGCGACGACUCCACCACCACCGAGUUGUGUGUUUUUCCGGUGAACGCACCGUGUGGCUUCGUUCUGAGCACGACCGCCGAGUGCAGGACAUGUUGGUGUCAUGGUGUGUGUAUAGGAGUAGAAUGUUAGUGGUUCAGAUGACAGACGUGGAGAGAAAUUACAGCCGACGAAUGAAGGAAGAUAGCACUUUGAAAUUACAAUGUUAGUAUAGUCUGCUUAGUAGAUGGAGAGAGGUAGUAAUUGAUUGCACGCGAUCGAUUGAUAAGCACAAUGAGGCAGGCUGCUGAUUAUUACGCGAUCCGGCCGAUCCAUGCAGGUGCAUGCGUGCAGUGCAGGCUAAUAAUAAUGUAAUCCGGCCACCACCAGCCCACUGCGGCGCUACUAGGCCAUUUUCCCCGUGAGGCCGUGACGAAAGGUGGUCGUCCCCAGGCAGGUUCUCUACCUCUCUCUCUGCCAAGACAAUGCAAGCUGAGAAGAAUUGUUUGCUGAAGCAGGCAGGAGGCAGCAGCAUAAGUAAAAGCUUACUAUGCACUGUAUUAUACUAGUGCAAGUAGCACACGCAGGUCAUCAUGAUGUCCGAUCCAUCCCUGAUUAGUGCAAAUUAGAAUCAAUCAGGAUUCGAUUCAGGCGUGUGUAGUCUGCGUGCUUGCUGGCAGCAAAUGAGUACAGGUUUGACCCCUCCGAUCCCCACCCGGACCAACGACGAUUAUCUUCUCUCUCUCUCUCUCUCUCUCUCUCUCUCUCGAUGGUCAAAGCUUUGUCGAGACGUGGCAGCGACGUUAGGACAAGAGAGAGAGAGAGAGAGAGAGAGCAGCAGCAGUAGCGGUAUGCAAUGCAGUAUUGCAGUGAGACGAGUAGGGCAGAGAGAGCAUGCACAUCACAGCGCAGGAGGACGGACGGUGUCCCUGUCCAGGCUUUUGACUCGGCCUCCGAUCGACUACACGGCCUACUCGAGUCGAUCCUACUGGGAGUGGAGGAGUGAUCGCGUGUGUGGUGUGGAAGAACGAAGGCCAGGCCGGGAUGGGAGAGACCUCUCAUCCAUCAGUGGGCGGCCGCCUUUUUCCGGGCACGCGUGCCAGGCCCCGGGCCCUCAUCACCUCCCUUUUGACGUGACGCGCCUCUUCGCGUUCGCCGUCGCUCUCCGUCGUCGUCGUCGUCGUCUCCGCCCUGCUCAUAAGCAUGACGUCAACGGGUCUAACUUCGUCCCCUGCUUGCCGUCGUCUUGCCCAGCUUCAUCCCUCGAUCGGCUUCCGCCGCCGCCGCAUGCAGUCGAGAAGGUCACGGGUCGUCGCCCCGCGCGCCUAGGCGUGUAGGCCGGCCGCCGUCUCGCGAUUCGUAGCAGAUCUCUUGGCAGGCACGCUAGCUAGCUGCCGUCGCCAGCCCAAGGCAAUGUACGUACUCGCCGUGUCGACACGACACGAGCAGCUUCGAUCGGCUGCCGCUACGUACGUGCUAGCGCGCGCGUAUUUCCGCUAGUUUCCACUUUUAUUAAUUAAUUUACCUGUGACUAUAUAAUUAUCCCGCUGUUGAUGGCCAUGAUGCUGCACGCUGCAGAUUUAGUUCGCUAGGCCAGGCGUAUCUGGCAGCUGCUGGACGUUUUUUUCGACGGCCAAAGAAAACGAUCGAGAGGAAUACAGAAUACGUACAGAUAUACGGUGGCUGCAUGCAGGUCCAUCGCGUCGCCUGGACUGGGGAUCGCAAAGGGAAUAUAGGUAGACGGAGAAAAUUCCAAAAAGAAAAGGGCAGAUCGGAUCAUAACAUAACAGCCAUGCCAAAGCCAAAUCAUGGGGGUGCCUAACGCGAUUUCUUUCUUUCAGCCCUCAUCGGUACGUUCUUCCAUCACAUCAACUUUACCAAACGAUGCCGAUAUAUUUGUGUCCCUAACAUAACUAUAUCUAAUUUUUUUUUUCGAGAUCAGGCCAAGCAGCUCCAAAACCCUCACACAUCUGUCAUGCAUUUUUAACGUCUGUUUCAGGUAAAAUUGCUAAUCGAUCAGAUCGAUAACAAUAAUAAUAUUACGCCGAAAGCCUCUGACUUUUCGAAUUAAAUCCAUCUCCCCGUACAUGUAUACGCAUGCAUGCUCCCUGCCUCCUUACCUUAUACUAUGAGUCUUAUAAAAACAAACCAAACUGUGAACCAUGCAUCAUUGUGUGUUCAUUCUGCCACGUACGCUCAAAUACAUAAUCAUUAAUUUAGCUACAGCAAACAUCAUGCUAUUUUUUUUUUUACAAAAACAUCAUGCUACAAUGACAGGCGUGCUAUAAAAUACGAUUUGGUCUGUGCAGCCCAUGGGCACCUGCGUAAUUUCACAUGUCACGAUAGCGAUGCCGACUUCAGCUUCUUGUGGUCGGAAAUUUUUAACAGUAAAAUAAAGGUGAUGUCGAGGAUUUAAAACGAUUAUCGCUGAGAAAGUAAUGCCCUAGCAGCUAGGGUUAUACAUAGAAAAAUCAGCCGGGGAGGAAGAAUAUUGCACACGCACAGACGCAAACAAGACUUCUGUGUGUACAAGAAUUAGGUGCAGCAGCAGCAGCAGCGCUGCUGUGAGCUGCUAACUCUAGUUCAGUACUAGCCCUUUUUGGUUAGGUAGUGAAUGAAAUCAUCAAACAUUCCAUCUUAUUGGUGUAAUUUAUUUGCUUACGUUGCUAUCACCCAAGACUAGCUAGCUAGCUUUAUUUCGGAUCGGAGGUCAAAGGCAUGCAUGCCUUUGAGAUUACUUAGAACUUAUUCGACAGUAUUGUAUUCUUUUGUAUUUGUUUUUUUAAAUUAAAAAGAAAGCUAUUAUACAUGCAUUAUUUAUUAUACUGAUUCGACGCAACAUCUAUGUCCUGAUUCUUAUGUGUGAAAAACAUGGGAGCAUAACUCAAUUGCUCAUCAAGACCUGUUCCUCUCUAUAUAUCCAGUUCCAAUAUAAAUGGGACAAUCUUCAACAGAAAAAUGUAAUUGGUCACUAAAAAGAUGCGCUGACUGGAGCAUGCUGCAUGCAGGAGAACGGACAUAAAAAAUAUGGGAUAGGGAAUUUAUAGCCAGAGAUGUGUGAUAUGUCUUGAACAGUGACAUGGAAUAUUUUGUCUAAGCGUAUUUGUUCUGCUGGCGACAAUAUAUAGGCAUACAUAUUAUGUCGUAGCAUUUCAAUGAUAAAAAGAAUAUAAAAAGGAAGACUGUGCUCUGAUCCCCUAUCUUGGUAUAUUACAAGUUAAAUAUGCUCACCCCGGCUAAAUUUGCACCGUGUAUAAUACAUAGUGAUAUGCCUACGAUUCAGUCUCUGAAAGGUAAAUUUUAAUAUGCUUAGAUAUAGCAUUUGUACAAAUAUUAUUUUUGAUGUGGUGAAUUUCCCAAAACAUCAUGUUUUGAAACCAUGCUUCGCUUUGUACCAUGUUCAAAGAGAUGAUGGUGAACUUAUGGCACCAAGUUCCAGUUCAAGAAUUCCCGUUUUGCACUGAGUAGCUAAAGCAUUAUAUUGCACUCUGCAUUAUACACCACAUUGCAGUCUUGAUGCAAAUCGUUUGAGAAUGCAUAGACCUGAGCAAAUAUGUGGUCAGCCCUGGCCAAACGGACUAAAAGUGCGCCUCAUGUUCUUAUAGGGCUAGACUUAAGGAGCACAGUCUCACCCAGUCAGGGCUCGACCCGAGAACGCCCGACGCUUUCCUAUUAACGGUAGCCCCAAUCCACAUAUUAUUUUGGUUCAAUCCGGUCUGCAAAUACUUAGGUCUAAACGUCCCAUAAGGUUGACACAAGUGUACAACAUGGUAGUGGCGGUGGAGGAGGAUGAGGAGGUUGGGUUUCUCAAAUGGUAGUCGUAAAAGGUAUAUAAUUUGUAGAUAAAACAUUUAUGUAUCAAUUUGAUGUAUUUGACUAAACAUCAUGAACAAAGGUAACCAUAUAUCAUGCUUUAUUUUACAUUUUGAAGUGAAAGAUUAAUCCUCAUCAUCACCGUUAUAUUUAUUUCAUGACAUAGAUCAAAUUUCUUGAAAUAUCAAGCUCACUUGUCAUAGUAAACCACAUGUAUGGACGUAUGGUUGACAUACGGUCCAAAGCUGGACCACUUUUGUCCUAGUGAGUGCUAGAAGUUGGUGUAAAGUGACAACUCUUGGCUAAAACCUAGUGCAAAGUGCAACAAAAAUGCUUAUAUAAAGUGAAAUAUCACCAUUUGCUUUCAAAACAUUUUCUUUGCAAAUCACUUUUUCAUUUUAUCUUAUGCGACAUAUGCAGCCAAAGCAUACGUGGACAUCAAAAGCCCUAGAGUGUGUGUUUGAUAAGGAUUCAAUUUCUUGAAGAAAAUGAUUUUGAUUCUUUGUUAAAUUUGGCUUUUCCAAUUUCUAGUUCCCCGAUCCGUUGAAUCCAAAAAAUAUUGAUGGUUCCGAAUAUAAAUCACAUAAUCGUUUGACAAUGAUUCUCUUCUCCCUUGUAGCAAUUUUCAUUGGUAGGGAUUCUACUGUUUGGAGAGAAACACUUUGGAAAAUCCCUAUCGAACACACCGUAUCUAUUGUAGUGGAGUGUUUCAAGAUUAUAUAACACUUGGCUUUCCAACCCAUGAUGGUGAUUCUAGGAUUAUAAUGCAUCUUCUAUCUCCAACCAUUUAAUUUCUACCGUUACUAUUGUAUAUAUGGCAGCAAACUUAAGCAUGGAUGACACCCAUCACGUCGACCUUCCUUGUCCCUUGCAACUCUCCAUCGCUAGUUCAUCACUCUAACCAGCUUUUAGGGCUAUCGCUAUGACACCCUAGUCAUGACAUCAAUACACCUCCCAAUUGGUCUCCUCCACCUUUUUGCACUCAUCAAUGAUCAUUGUCGCCUCAUCGCUCCAUCCUGCACCUGCCACCUCCUUUGCCAGAUCGGAUUGUCGCCAAUGGUCCUCUCUUUAAUGUCAUAGUGUCAGUGAAAAUCCCACUCCUUAAAUUAACCCCUAAACCCCUAACCUCACCAAAGUGUGGAGGAAGAUGACCAUAACUCGAGAAAAAGGACGUCUAUGGUUGAAAUCUGAUCUAACAUCAAAAAAUUUCUAGUGUUGAGGAAUCUCAAAUCAAUUGGUUGUUGUAUACUUUUUUCUUGACCCAUUUUAUCUUUUUUUUCACAGAUGAACCAUAAUCCUAAGAGCAACUUUUAGAGCCUCUCAAAAUUUCAACCUUUAUAUCUCUAUUUGAAUAGUCAUUUCAUGAAUAUUCUUUGUAUAUAUCUAUCGUGCUUCCAACAGUCUCUUUAAGUUUUAUUCUCUAUAUUCCAAUGGCUUACCCUAAAUUUUCUUCUGUGAAAAUAUUCAUAAGAGAACGACCACAUAUUGAAUUUAGAGGGUUAUCUAGCCUCUCCAUAAUAGAGAGCGAGAAGGGGGUUUUGAAGAACAGAAAAAACAGUGAGUGGUUUAAAAGUCUAUUGGAGCAUAAUUUUUUGAUCUGUUUUCUAAAGUUUUGUGAUAAAAAAUCCACGUAAAAAACCUCUUGGAGAUGCUCUAAGAAGUUACUACAAGACAAACAAAGUAAUACUACGUACCAGCUGCUAAACUAAUUGAUUGUUGUUCAAGUACUGAGAGUGAGAGUCUCAAACCAAUUGGUUCUUGUUUAGUUGUUUUUGACCCGGUUUAUCUUUUAUUUUUAUGAGAUGAACCCUAAUCCUAAGAAGUUACUACGAGACAAAACGAAGUAACACUACACUACCCACUAAACUAAAGCUAAGAAUAAUAAAGUUGCAUUUUUUUCAUUUGUAUGCAGAGAGAAGCAGUAGCAGUAGUACUACUACACUUAGGGUCGUUGAACUACCGACUGAUCAUGAUCAGUUGCACCAGAAUUAUCUGACGCAAUGCCGGAAGACCGCCUAACGACUCCAGCCGGUUAAGCUCAGCUGCAGCAGCUCCGGUCAGAAAGCCAGCCGAAAUUCUCCCCUCCGAUCCCCUUCCUUUCCAAAACGGUUUAUAUAUACACGACCCACACAUCCCCAUCCUUACCACUACUCAUCAGCUUGCUCAGCUUUCAGCUUUCCCCUCCCUCUGCAAGCUUGCCCAACCCAAUAAGCUAAGCAAGCACUCACCACACACUCUCUAGUAGCUAGCCAAGCUAGCCGCCCCUCGCACGCGUGCGCGCGCACCAGCGCAUAUCUAUCAUCAGCUAGCCAAGAAACGGAGGAGCAGAUCGAUCGGCCGACAUGGGGGAUCAUGCUGAGAUGUUGCAUGCCGCUCCGGCCAUGUACAACGGCGUCGGCGCCGGUGCUGCUGCCCCUCAUGGCGGGUGGUGGAAUACUACGGCGGUGCCCGCGACGACGUGCUCGACGGAGCUGGCCGGGUUCACGACGUGGUCGUCCGCCCUGGCUGCUAGCUACGACCUGGCGGCCGAGGGGGGAAAGGCCAAGUGCGCGGCCACCACUGCCUCGUCGGAGUCGCCCGGGAACAACAGCUCCGUGACCUUCCAAGAACCGGCAAGCGUCACGGAUCCUGCUGGCGUCGGAACCGCCGUGGUGCAGCAGCCUCUUGCUGGUUACACUGACUGGACCCAUCCGUAUAUGUAAGUCUGGUUAUAUUAUGAUUCUCAUAGAAUAUAGGCUCGAUUGGCCAGAAAAUCAUUUAUAUGAUGAUGCAGAAAUACUCUAUCACCUGGCUCUGAAAUCUAUGUAUAUAUGUGUUCGAACACAGGAGCAGUGGUGCUACUACUUUGCAUGGGUUUCUGCAAGAUGGUCACCAGCAGGACAUGAGCUCAACAACUGAGCAAAGCGCCAUGACGGCAUCAAGCCUGAUGAACCCUUCAUCCAAUAACCUAGCCCUGGCCCUGCAAGGUCACCAUCACCAAGAGCAGGACCACCAGCAGCAGAUGCUGUCCAGCUUCGGAUCCGAGCUGCUCUUGUCGCCGACCUCGCCCUACGGGUUCCAGUCAUCCCUGCUAAGAAGCCUCAUGGAGCCGACAGCAACGGCGGCGGCGAAGCCGCAGGCUUUGCCGGGGUACCAGCAGUAUGAUCAGUACCAGCAGAUGGGCAUGGGCCAGGCGAGGUUUCCACCGGCCGGAGCUACCAGGGAGGCACUUCAGUUCACCAACGACGCGCCGUUCUGGAACCCUUCUGCUGCUGGGUUCGGCGUGGCGCCGGCGCCGGCGCCUGACCAAGCUAGCAGCGUUCGUUCUGUCAAACCAUCGCCGACGGCUGCGCGUACUACAGCAACCCUUGCAUUAAAGGUAGGUAGAAAUAUAUACAUCUAAGAACUAUACUAAGAUGCAAACAUUUACUUGAAGACAACGGCAACAUUUGCUAGCUAGACCUAGACCUAAUAAGUAACCUUGGCGUGGUUAUGUCUGUGUAGACUGCGUUGGAAGGAGUAGGAGAGUCUGCUAGCUCAAUCAUCACCAAGAAGAAGGCGAACGGCGAGCCGGCCUUCAAGAAAUCGAGGCUCGAGACGCCGUCGCCGUUGCCAACGUUCAAGGUACGUAGUUGGUUUUCUUAAACAAACUUCACCUCAUUAGAUAUUAUAUUAUCAUUUGACGUUGCUGUAUAUCUAUAGAUCAUGAUUGAAAUUAAACCCCAUGCAUAUAUGAAUCUUAGAUAACUGAAGUUGGGCAUGUUCGUGCAAUGCAUUAAUUUCUGCAGGUUAGGAAGGAGAAGCUAGGGGACAGGGUCACUGCACUCCAACAACUAGUCGCCCCUUUUGGAAAGGUGAGGGAGGCUAGCUUUUGAUGAAUCUAUAUUACAAACAAAGCUAGUGCUUGGAACUAUGUAGUACUGCCAACAUCUAACAUCUUCCGUCUCUGCAAAAGACAUGUUCCUUUUCUCCUCCUUUGGAGAUCUAACCUCAAAUCUAUAAGCACAAUCUCUGAAAUACCUGAUUAUCUCUCGAUGCGCGUGCAGACGGAUACGGCAUCGGUGCUCCAUGAGACCAUCGAGUACAUCAAGUUCCUCCACGACCAAGUUGGUGUAAGUGUGUGUGCGCGAGUACUACCAUGAUUCCCCACCUUUAAUCAUAGCACAUCUGAAGCCUGAAGCACCGGCUAUAGCACGUUUUCUACACACGAAUCAUCAGAAGGGGACUGAUCGAUCGAAGGCAUUGACAUUGUGUUGUUUGCGCCUUGUUUCUCUGCAGGUCCUUAGUGCUCCAUACUUGAAGAACAACGGCCAUCAUCAAGUGCCCCACUUGAAGGUAGGUGCCAGUACCAGUGUCCACUGUGUAAGUGUGCAUGCUAGCUGCAUGCACGCUUGCUCUCCUUUUCAUUGUGAUGGAUCAUGGUACUUGCUGAACUGUUCAAGGGUGCUGAUGGCUUUAUAUGCGUGCGUGCGUGCGUGCCUUUGGUUUCAGAGCUCAAGUCCUGACAAGUCCAACAAGGACGACAACAGCCAUGCCGGCGAGGUAUCGCUCAAGGGCCGGGGGUUGUGCCUGGUCCCGAUAUCGAGCACGUUCGCGGUAGCCAGCGAGGUGCCCGUCGACUUCGUGUGGAGUACUCCAUUUGCUGCCAACUUUAGGUAGACGAAGAAGCCUCCAAAGCUCUGAUCAGAGUCGUCGAACGAGCAACUAGCUAGCUACCUGCAGCCUACCACAGAUCGAUCGACCUGGCCUGAUGAUAUAUAUAUAUAUAUAUAUAUCCAUGCAUGUUUCUUAGUCUAGUCCUAGCAGUGUAUGGUCAUGGUUCGUUAUCUCUCGUAACUGUAGUAGUACUAAGCAUGCAGCAGCUCUGGCAACGAAAAAGGAUUGCAGACUGAGCUUGCUAGCUAGAUGAACCUUUGGAAUGAGUCCUUGAAGACUUGGAUUCAUUCUCCAGGUUCAUCUAUCUAUCCAUCCGAUCCAUCAGGGAAUAAGGGAUCAGCUAAUAUAUUUUGAGAGAGGACACAACAAGUCUCUACUGAUCGUCAUCAGCUUCUAAUUAUGAUUGGUUGUUAGGUUGCAUCAUUGGGUAGUUGUACGUGGAAGGAUUUGUUAAAGAUGUGUAAUGGUUUCUAGAGUUUAAACUAGUGACAGACGGAAUGGAUCAAAGUGUGUAGCAGGUUUCUAUUGAUUGUACUACCAAAUAAAAAGUGGCAUCUCUUUGAUUGAUCGGAGCACGCUUUUGGAUAGCUUCUCUUUUGAAUCUAAACCACACACAUAUAUUUUGAUACUGUAAGUAUCAGCUUCAAAGAAUUUGUGCAGAUGUGCCUUUUGAGGUUAAAUUAUUCCAAUGCCGUAGUGGAUAUCAGCGCAUGCUUAACUUUUGAAUAAUAGCCAAUAUUCUGCUGCAUUUUUAUAUCAUGAUGUGGACACGUACUACACAAAUGCAUAUUAUAUUAAUUGAUGUAAGAGUAUACGUCUUCUAAUGCACAAGUUUGCUCUUGGUCUUAUAGUAUAUCACAUCUCUAUAUACUAAGUAAGCUAAUACCGAUUAUCAGUUUUCUAAUAAAAUGGUAAUGCUACCCAAGCAAAUAGUAGUAGUUCCCUUCAUUCCGGUAUGGAGAACUAACUCAUCAGGAAAGCUUGCAUGUAAUAAUCUCCACAAAACAACUCCUUUAUCUUCUAAGUUUCAUAAAAACAAUCUAGUUUUGCAUAUGUGAUCAUAUCAUAUACUCCCUCCGUUCCAAACUAAGUGUCAUUCUCAUUUCAUGAAGAGUCAAACAUCUUUAACUUUAACUAAUAAAUAUAUGCAAGAAAAUAUUAAUAUUUAUAAUUAGUAUCAGUAGAGGCUGUUGAAUCUAUUUUUAUAAUAAACUUAUUUAAAGAUAUAAAUAUUGCUAGUAAUUUUUUCCUACUAAUCUAGUCAAAUUUAAAAAGUUUGACCUGCACAAAUACCAUAAAGACACUUAUUUUGAGACAGAGAGAAUAACAAAUAACUUUAGCAAAAGAAUAAUUUAUUACCUUCUUAAUGAAAUACUAGCUAGUUCGGUAGUUCCUCCUAGGCUGGUCCACAUCGUGAAAGGACAUGUAGCUUAGGUCUUGAGUUUUCAGUGAUAAGCGGUGUUUUUGUCGACAACAAGGCGAGUGGUAAUUUUGUCUAGAGGUAAGGUUUACGUGUGUGCGCUUAUAGGGGUGAGUGUGCGUAUGUUUAAAGUUAGCAACACCAAAUUUGUAUGUGUUGACGUGUGUAAAGAUGUAGUAGUGCAUUGUAUCUUUAACUGAAUUUGAAGUUUGAAGAAAAUGAACUGACUUGUCACUUUUGAGACUUUAGAUUGUUUUCACUUGCAUGAAACUUGAAAGAUACAUGUACGAACAUGCGGUUUGACCGUUUGACGCUUGAGCUAGUGAAAUGGUAAACCCAAUACGGUGAACUCAGAAUGCAAUCAUAUGCAAGAACAGCUCAACUCCACCUAGUCUUGCAGGAGACCGAAGUACAAUUCAGCACUUCGUUUUCUUAGUUCUUCCACGGCAUGGUCAACACCUACAAGACAAGACUGUUGAAAUGGAAAAUUUCUUUGAGACCAUCUUUUGAAAAAGAAUUUCUGAUCAAAUGGGGCACCAACCAAACCAAUUAGGAAAUCGUGAGCAACACUAAGAUCUCAAUGUUUUCAUAACAGGCUAAAAUUAAAUAAGCUACGAACUAUGCAAACGAACCAGUGAUUCAGCUAGUUACAAGGUGUUUUCAUAGUAUUAGGUCUUGUUUGGAUAUUAUCGGAUUCAUCUCAAUUCAUAUCUGUUAGGGUGGAUUGGUGUGAAAUUUAGUUUAAGUUCUACUUUAAUCCACCCUACACAUGUGGAUCGUUGUGAAUCCGAUUACAUCCAAACCUAGUUUGAUACUACUUAUGGAAUGGAAAAUAUUUUCUAAAUGGAUCGGAGAAAGAUGCAGCGUCAUUGUGAAAACUUAAAACUUGAACGUGGUUCUGAAAUUUCAGUGGUGUCUUUGCCUGUGUUAGGCUAAUUUCUGAAGAUAGGGGAAUGAAUUCUGCUGUCACAGGUCAAGGUCAAAUGGAAUAACUUCUAAUUAACUACUUAAAAACGAGAAGAUUUCACAUUCUCUCUGACUUGAAACGUUUAGGCUCAAAAAUAGAUCAUUUCAAAAAAUUCUGUAUAUGAAGUUAGGGGCUGUUAGCAGCCAGCACCUUUAUGAUGAUGAUAGGAAGUGCAGGAAUUGGGCUAGCGUCGUCACGAGCAAGAAGGCCCAGAAGCUUAGAAGAGCUAACCCGUUUGUAUCCGUCACAGCAUCGUUGUCAAGGGCGUCAAGCCCCCGACGUGCAGGGCCUCGGCUACGGAGCUCGUAGCCGUCGGCCGUCUUCUCCGAUGAGGUUAUGUCCCUCUACCGCAGGCUUAGGGUUUAGAGAAGAGAUAGGAUAAUAAUCUUUGCUUGCCUCCAAUGUUCACGGUUACAGAAUAUAUAAGGCCUUAGCCCAAACUAAUAGGGGUAACAAAUCCCCUUAAAACCAGGAAUAGAUAAUAGCAAAUAGAAACUAGAAAUAUCUUUCCUAAUCUUAUUCACCUAGGGCAUCACGCCCAGGCUCGCGCUCCACGCGUUCACGCGCGCGACGAACGUCCCCCCCCCCGUCGAGGUUCAGCUCGUCCUCGAGCUGGAAGGUAGGGUGCUUGACGAGGAAUGUGUCGACGUCUUCCCAUGUGGACGAGGCUGCAGACUCGCCUUUCCACUUGAUCAGCACCUGACGGAUGCCUCUGGCCAGGCGAUAGCGCACCGCGCGCUCUGGUUCAGGUGCAAUGGCGCCAUGGUGCACCUGCGGUAGAGGCGGAGGUGCUGUCGGAGGUGGCCCUUGGAACUUCUUGAGCAGGCCGACAUGAAAAACAUCGUGAAGGCGCGCGUUGGGCGGCAGGGCGAGGCGAACAGCGACCUCGUUGAUGAGCUCCACGACUUGGUAGGGCCCAUAGAAGCGCGGCUUAAGCUUGCCCUUCGUUCGCUGCUGCAGGGAGGAGGCCGCACGCUGGCGAAGGCGCAGAAGGGCCCAGUCGCCCACCUCAUAGGUCACUGGACGAUGACCAGCGUCGUAGAAGCGCUUCUGGACCGCCUGGGCCUAUUCAAGGCGGUAGCGGAUGUCGGCGAGGAACUCCUCGCGUUCCUCUAGGGUCUUGUGGCGACAGCAGCAACCCUGGUUUCACCAGGUUCAUAAGACCGGAGCGACGGAGGGUCCCGACCAUACACCACACGAAAGGGGGUGUCGCGGAGCGAAGACUGGUAGGCGGUAUUAAAGACAAACUCCGCCCACGGAAGCCAGCGUAGCCAUUGCCGAGGACGGUCACCUGUGAGACAGCGCAAGUACAUGAUAAUGACUCGGUUAGCAGCUUCAGAUUGGCCGUCCGACUGAGGGUGGAAGGCCGUUGUCAUCUGCAGUUUGGUGCCUGUCAAGCGCAUGAGUUCACGCCAGAACGCCGAGGUGAAAACUGGGUCACGGUCAGACACCAUGGACUGGGGAACGCCGUGGAGGCAAACAAUGUCGGCGAAGAACGCUUCGGCGGCGGACUCCGCAGUGUACGGGUGUGCCAAUGGGACAAAGUGGCAGUACUUGCUGAAACGAUCGACCACCGUCAGGAUUACCGGCUUGCCACGGACGCGGGGUAGAGCCUCGACGAAGUCCAGGGCGAUGUCCGUCCAAAUGCCUUGCGGCACCGGGAGGGGCAGCAGGAGCCCGGCGGGUUGCAGGUGCUCUGAUUUAUACCGUUGGCAGACAACGCAGACUCGAAUAAGCUCCUGCACAACAUGUUUCAUGUUAGGAAAAUGGAAGUCGCGGCGGAGGCGGUGUAAAGUGCGUUGGACACCCUCACGUCCGUCCUCGUGCACUGCCAGCACAAGUUCCUGCAGCAACGGCGAGCCUGGGGGAAUGUACAGGUGGCCGCUGUACUGCACCAUGCCGUCCACCACGGACCAGGGCAUGCUGCGGGCGCCACUGCUGAUGUCUUCCCGAAGAGCGACCAUGGCCGGGUCUCCCGCAUUGGCCUGGCGAAGCCGUGUGAUGAAGUCAAAACGGGGAGCCGAGAGUGCCAGCACCGCGCCUGCUGUCUCCUCUUCUGUAUCACGGCGGGACAGCGCGUCGGCGACCGUGUUUGUCACAUCCGGUUUGUACUCGACGGAGAAAUCGAACCCGAGGAGCUUGCCCACCCAAUGGUGUUGCGGGAUCGUCAAGAGCCUCUGGUCGAGCAGAUAUUUGAAGCUGUAGUGGUCGGUCUUCACAACGAAACGACGCCCCCACAGGUACGGCCGCCAGUGACGUACUGCGUGGACGAGGCCGAUGAGCUCCCGUUCGUAGGCGGCGAGGGCACGGUGGCGUGGUGCGACCGGUCUGGUGAAAAACGCAAUGGGAUGCCCAUCCUGGAUCAGAACAGCUCCAAAGCCAUGGGUCGAUGCGUCACACUCCACUGUAAACGGCUUGGCGAAGUCCGGCAUGGCGAGGACGGGGGCCGAGGUGACCGCGGCCUUGAGAGCGUCGAAGGCGUAGGCCGCGGCGUCGGUCCAGGUGAAACCGUCCUUCUUGAGUAGGGCGGUGAGUGGGGCGGCGACCGCGCCGUAGUUGAGGACGAAUUUGCGGUAGUAGCCGGCAAGGCCGAGGAAGCCGCGCAGUGCGCGGACCGACCGAGGCACAGGCCAGUCGCGAAUGGCCUGCACCUUCUGAAAGCCCUAGUUUGGUUUUGGAUAAUUGAUGAAACCCUAAGUACUAACCUCUAUACUAAGUGUGUGUAGACUUAAUAAGGUUGGUACAUGCCAAGUGAUGGAGCAAGUGAUGAUCAUGGUGAUGAUGGUGAUGAGCACAAGAUGAUCAAGUGCUCAACUUGCAAAACAAGAAAGAGAAAAACAAAACCCUAUGGAGUUCAAGGCAAAGGUAUUGCUUAGGGUUUUGGCUUUGGUGAUCAAGACACCAUAGAGGGUGUGAUCACAUUUAGGAUAGAUAGCCGUACUAUAAAGAGGGGAAUUCUUUGGCUAAGCGGUUAUCAAGUGCCACUAGGUGUCAUUGUUCAUGUGCAUGCAUUUAGAACCUAGUGAGCUAACUUAACUCCUUCAAAGAAAAUGAUUGUGAAAAUGCUAACACACGUGCACGCUCGUUGGUACACACGUUGUGGUGUUGGCACAUUUUGAGAAGGAGGUGGAGUUUCAAGGGUAGAGAGGGGAUGGGUUCCUCUCUCCCUCCCGCCGAGCUUGCGAGGCGGGAUUCGGCGCUUUUUGAGAAAAUGAAGUGCAUAUUUUCUAUUGCGCCGGUGGAAAAUUUGGAGAAGUCGCGGGAGUGUUUCUCGCUGAGAAAACACUCACCGGACGCUGGCCACUGAGGCACCGGACGCUAAGUCUGAGCGUCCGGUGCAGACAGUGCCUAGCCCAGCUAGGGUAAGGCACCGGACGAUAGGCACCGGACGCUGGCUUGAGCGCCCGGUGGUGCGCGUCCGGUGUGCGGGCGUCUUGGCGACCCUCUCUGCGCACGAGUCCGGUGAGCACCGGACGCUCAGGGUGCGUCCGGUGGCUAGCGUCCGGUGUCCCGCAGGUUUGCGGAACUCUCUACGCAUGAGUCCGGUGUGCACCGGACGCGUCCGGUGCUAACUUGCUCAGCGUCCGGUGCACUGCAGGUGACCGUUAGACUCUGACACGCGGCUGACGUUGGAGCACUGGACGCUGGUGCUGAGCGUCCGGUGACCCCGCAGUUUGCCCAGUGAAAGAGCCAACGGCUCUAUUUGUUUGAGGGGUCUAUAAAUACGUGUUUGGCCGGCUUGAGGCUUACUCUCUUGGCAUUCUAACAGACAUAACAUUCUUGUGAGCCUAAGCAAACACCUCCCACUCAUCUCCUUCAUAGAUUAAACAUCUUUGUGAGAUUGGGAGUGAUUCCAAGUGCAUUUGCUUGAGUGAUUGCAUCUAGUGGCACUUGGGGAUCGUUCUAGCUGCGGUUUUCUUGUUACUCUUGGUGGUUGCCGCCACCUAGACGGCUUGGAGCAGCGGAGGAGGAUUGGCACGAGUUGGUGAUUGUUCGUGGCCAUCUCCCGGUGAUUGUGAGGGGUAUUGUACCUUCCCCGGCGGAGAGCCGAAAGGUAACUCUAGUGGAUUGCUCGUGUCAUUGAGUUACCUCACUUGUGGGUAGGUUCUUGUGGUGUCCUAAUGAGGACGAGGUUCGUGCUACACCUCUUAGCCACCGAACCACCAAGUGUUGGUCGACACAACGGGGACGUAGCGUGCCGGCAAGCACGUGAACCUCGGGAGAAAAAUCGGUGUCUCAAUUGUGUUUGAUUGGCAUUCUCCCGGUGUUUGAUUGUUUAUAUUGGAGAUUGGUUCAUCCCCUACACGGCGGUAUAAAUAUCUCAUCUUAUCUUUACUUACCGCAAACUAGUGUAAUUACUUUAGUUGCUUACUUUGACUUGUGUAGCUUAGUUCUCUAGUGUAACUUGUAGAGACUUAGUUCUUGUGUGCAUAGAGAUCUUAGCAACUAGAAUUGUUGGGUAGGUGGCUUGCAAACACCCCUUUAGAGCUAGAGCAAAAAGCUUCGCUUUGUUAUUUACUAACCUUUUGCUCUAGUGAGUUUGUAGAUUUUUUAAAUAGGCUAUUCACCCCCCCCUCUAGCCAUAUUAGGACCUUUCACCUUCGUCGGGUCCAUCGCGACGCCCUCCGCUGAAAUCACAUGGCCCAGGUAGGCUACCGUGGCCUCGCCGAACGCACACUUGCUGCGUUUGAUGAAAAGCCGAUGGCGCCGCAGCUCGAAGAAGACAGCACGCAGGUGGCGAAGGUGAUCGGCCCACGUCUCACUGUAAAUAAGGAUGUCGUCAAAAAAGACAAGCACGAACCGUCGGAGGAACGGCCGGAGAACAUCGUUCAUCAACGCCUGGAAUGUGGCCGGAGCAUUGCAGAGACCGAACGGCAUGACGAGGAACUCAUAGAGUCCAUUGUGGGUCCGGAACGCCGUCUUGUGGACGUCGGCGGGCAGCAUGCGUACUUGGUGAUAUCCGGAUCGCAAGUCGAGCUUGGUGAAGAAGCGGGCGCCAUGCAGCUCGUCCAGCAACUCGUCGACCAUAGGGAUCGGGAAGGCGUCCUUGACGGUGAGGGCGUUCAAGGCCCUGUAGUCGAUGCAGAAACGCCACCCGCCGUCCGCCUUCUUGACGAGAAGCACCGGGGACGAGAAAGCGGAGUCGCUGCGCCGAAUAAUGCCUUGUUGCAACAUGGUCGCGCAUUGCUUCUCCAAUUCGUCCUUGUGGGCAGCAGGGUACCGGUAGGGCCGGACCGCUACUGGCUGUGCGCCGGCCUUGAGGUUGAUGGCGUGAUCGCGGGCGCGCUGGGGAGGCAUGCCGUGGGGCUCGGCGAAGAUGUCGACGAACUCCGCCAGUAGUGCAUCGAGGAGGGGCGCGCUGGACGUCGUGGCGCAGGUCUCCAGUGUACUCGUGGGCGCCACCCCGGGCCAACGGACGGUGCUGCCCUGAUGCUGGAAGGUGACGGAGCCAUCUACGAAGUCCCACACCAGGCGGCCCAGCGUGGCCAUCCACUGCGUCCCCAGCACCAAGUCGUGGCCUGCAAGGGGCAUAACAAAGAGGUCGACGGCGAAAACGGAGUCGUGGAUCGCAAUUGGGGCAUGCUUGAUGACGCCUAGGCACGGCACCUUCUCGCCAUUGGCCACCAUGGCAGUGAGGCGCGGUUGGGACUGGAUGGGAAGGCCAGACCGCGCUGCUGCUGUCUCGGCAAUGAAGUUGUGGGUGCUGCCUGUGUCGAGCAGGGCAAUGAGUGGAGUUGAGCCCACUCGGACACGGACCUGCAUGGUCCUGCCCACAGACACGCCAACAACGGCGUGCAGAGAAAAUAUCGGCGCCUCCUGCGCCACUGCGUCUGCGGCUGCAUCGGUCUCUUCCGCCUGGGCGUCGUCAAUCUCCAUGCCUUCGAGGAAGAACAGACGCUUACAGAAUCGGUUGUGGCCGCGGGAGAACUUCUCAUUGUAGUUGAAGCACAACCCUUGGCGUCGGCGCUCGGCCAUCUCCUCGGGUGUCAGACGGCGCUGGUUGCCCUCGGCGUGGCCCUGUUGUGCAGCCGCGGGCGGCGCUGGUAGGGCCAAGAGCGGCGGCGGCGGUGGCAGGGCGGCCCUGGCCGCAGGCGCCGACAGGCCGCGCGGGGGCGCCCUUGAUGGAACAGGCGCCGGAUGCUCCAGCUCCAUCAACUCAACCUGGCGAGCCAAGCUGAUGGCGGCGGCGAGGGAGUCCGGGUUGUGGAGGCGGACGGUGCUGCUUAGCGGUGGUCGGAGCCCGCCAGUAAAGAGCUGCACCCGCUGCGCUUCGUCGAGUCUGCCGGCGCGAGGUAGGAGGGCCUGGAACCGGUUAGCAUACUCCUCCACGGUUCUUGUGCGGCGGCACUCCGCGAGCUCAAACAUUGGGGCGGAACGGAGUGGAGGGCCGAACCGCAAAUUGAGGAGAUCCUUGAAGUUAACCCACAUUGGCGUGCCCUCAUCGUCUUGUAGUUGGAUGAACCACAGCUGCGCAGCGUCGUCCAGAUGGUAGGACGCCAUGCGCACGCGCUCUUCUGCCAUGGUGCGAUGUUGGCGGAAGUAGGCCUCGCAUUUGUUGAGGAAUAGCAUCGGGUCGGUCGUGCCGUCGAAGUGGGGAAAGUCCCACUUCUUAUGCUUCGGGUGGAAAUCUUGCUCGCGGUGUCCUUCAGGGCGGCGGUUCUCGCUGCUUUCGUCCGUCGAGGCCUUCUCUUUGAUGGAGGCGAUGUCGGUCUUCAGCGCUGAGAUCUCGGCCGACAUGGUCUUGAUCUCCUUGAGGAGAUCGGCGAGGGUUGGUUCGGCCAUGGAGGGCUGCGAGGUGUGCGUGGCAGAGGGAGAUGGCGGCGGCUGGUGGUGGGCGGGUGUGGCAGCGGUAGAUGGCUCAGAACGAGCGCGAGAGGAGCGGCUGACUGCUGAUACCAGGUUGUCAAGGGCGUCAAGCCCCCGACGUGCAGGGCCUCGGCUACGGAGCUCGUAGCCGUCACCCGUAUUCUCCGGUGAGGUUAUACCCCUCUACCGCAGGCUUAAGGUUUAGAGAAGAGAUAGGAUAAUAAUCUUUGCUUGCCUCCAAUGUUCACGGUUACAGAAUAUAUAAAGCCUUAGCCCAAACUAAUAGGGGUAACAAAUCCCCUUAAAACCAGGAAUAGAUAAUAGCAAAUAGAAAUUAGAAAUCCAAAGUUAAGCGUAUGCUAGGUGAGCCAUCAGGCACAGUCAGUUGCAGAUAGUACCCGUUUCCUGUAUUGACAAUUGUUUGGUACAUCGUGAAACUUGUGUUGUUUUGGAAUAUGCCAUGUACCAAUUCACCACCCCAUGCGGCUCUUCUCCAGUACGGCUGUGUCCCAUUCCAAGCGACAAUCUGGAGAUCUGAGCUAGGGUCGCCACCCAAGGAGAAAUCACUGCUGGAUGGGUCAUCAGGCCCCUUCCAGGCAACAAGGCGUGUAGCACCAUAAGCUACGCUCAGUGAAAAAUUUACAUUGGGGACAACUGUGUCAGUCGGGUAAUUGAAGCUCUGCCAUAUGUCAGUGCCAUUUGGCGACCGGAUAACCAAGUUCCCCGAGUCGAGCAGGAUGGAAGCAGUUUCACCGCCUCCUGUGGUGCUGUUGUUUGUCGUCAUCCAGAUCGUGCGGCCUGUGGAGUCUAACAAGACAAGGUCAGAACUGUUGGUAAAAACUAGCUUCCCAGGCAAAUUGGUGGUAAUUGGGUUGUCGCGGUUGGCAAUCCACACGUAUGUGCGCCCAGGGAUGUUGUUGUACCAUAUUCCGACAUAAGAGCUUGAAGAGUUCUUCAGGGAGAAGAAGCCAAGAGCAAAGACACCACCGUCUGAGAUGAGCACCUCGCUGGGCAAGAGUGGCUUUGCAGGUGUUAGCCUGUCAUCGGAUUGGCACAAGACAACCAUGAACAGGAAGAUGAAAAUGGGGAGGUAAGCCAUGGCCACUAGGCCUUCCUUAGCAAGUUGGUAUAUGGUUGUGGAGAACACAACAAGGAGAUAGCACAAUGGUAGCUAAGAAUGAACCCUCGGACAGUUCAACUCCAAGGAGUAGAAAAUGGCACGGAUGCUCAGACUUUUCUGUCCCUCCAACUCAGUCGCUGUUCUGGUCAGUUGUCAAAUUCACAUGGAAAAAGGGGAACAAUCCAGCUCGCUUAGGUCUUGUUUGGAUGUCGCCGCAUUCACCUCAAUCCACAUGUGUUGAGGUGGAUUGGGGUGGAAUUUAGUUUAUGUCUCACUCCAAUUGACGUCAACACAUGGGUUGAUGUGAAUCCAACUGCAUAAGAAAGGACGUUAAGAAAAAUUAGACUAGGAUAGUCCAGUUGUCGUAUGUUGAAGCUCAUAUUUCAGGUGCAUACUAAGGAUGAAGGGAUACAUUUAUUCGGUUAUUUCCUGACUGUAGAAACAUAGGAUAACAGCAAGACCAUCAAGUUUGGAGAUCCAAUGCUUGAAGAAAUCCAAGAUGUGUGUGACGAAGUAGCUGAUGCUGACACUCGCUACCUGCUCGCCUCAUAGGUCAAAGCUGUCAUUCUAGCACAGCCAUCAGUGGAUUAUUCAGCGUUGCGACAGGUCUACCGUGGGAAAUUAAAGACCAAGAAAAGCAUUGGCUUGUGUGUGAUCGUGCUAGUGCCACAUCAGUCUACAAAUAUACUUCUAGCUAGCUGGAAAUUGCACAGAAAUUGCUGCUGGUCUGUGCAAGGAAAGGCUAGGUUGAGAAGUAACGGAAGAGGGAGAUGCUAAGAAUCAGGUUACCGUCAGGCGGAGCUCCAAACUCCCAAGAGAUAGUAGCUUAACGCGGUCGGGAAGGGCGACGGCAUCAGCAUUGGGGGCCCAGGGCAGAUGUCCCAAAGAUUUCGGAAGGUUUCCGACCUUACGUCCCGGCCGGGGGUGGGCACCAUUGCCAAUGGUAGGCGUCGCAACUAGAGGCGUAGGCGUGGCCGGCGGUAGUGGCGGGGCAGUGGGCUAGGAUGGCGGCGAGGUAAAGGGAAGGAAGAUGAGAGGCAUGCUGUGGCUGCGGCGGCGGCAUGACCGACGGGCGGCGUGGGUGCCGCAGUGCCGGCAACUUCCGCCGUUCUGUUCCGCACGACGGGGUUCGGGGUAUUUGGGGUUUAGCUGGGCUGCUAUCGUAUCGUAUCGUAUGGGUCCCCACAAAAUGGGCUCGCGCUGUUCCGGGAGGCCGUGGGCUUGGAAGGGCACUACACGGCAAAGCCACCGUCAGCAUGGGCCCAUUAGGCUUUGGAGGAAGCACGCGUUCACCUUCCUUUUGGGCCGGUUUGCGGAGGCGGCGGUGGGGUGGCCAUUGGCGAAGCGGCGGUCGGCGGAGGACUGGAGCUGGUUCGGGGCCGAGGCGGAGGAGCCGCAGGCGCAGCCGCGCUAGAAGUCAGGAAUCAGGAAGAGAGGCAAGAGUCGUGGUCCUUCAAAACGUCGUCGUACGCUUUCUCGGUCCUUCACGAGUCGUGUUCCGGUAGACAAACAGUCGCCGGCUCGCCGCCCCUCUCUUCACGCGGUUCGACGCCGUUCGCCACGGUCGCCAUCUCCGCCGCCGCCGCCGGAAACUUGGCAUCUUCGCCGAUCUCGUUCUCCCCUUUUCCCACCCAGGAGGCAACAUGGUACGUUGGGGAUCUAACCCUAGGGGCUUCGCUCUAUUCCCUCCUUCCCCCUUUCCGAAUCUCGGGGGCCCUCCCUCGGAAUAUUUGCCCACCCCUGUCCUAAAUCCAUGCCGGUCGGGGGCAUGAUGUGAUGCUUUGUUAUUCGCCGGCGGUUCGAUUGUUUGACGGAUUGGUUCUUUUGGUUCUCUGCAGUCGUCGCUCGCUGCGGCGAGAGCGGAUAACUUCUACUACCCGCCGGAAUGGAGCCCCAAGAAGGUACGGAUCUCUUCGUCGAUGAAACAUCGUGUAGCCUCUUCAUUUUGGUUUAUUAUAUGUCCUGUGGUCGCUGAUUCGUUGCCGCUGUUGCUCAUGUUUGUUCUUGAUCAGGGUGGGUUGAACAAGUUCCAUGGACAGCAUGCGCUCAGGGAGCGGGCGAGGAAGCUCGACCAGGGCAUCCUGAUUAUAAGGUUUAUUUUCUUCUGAAAACAUUACAAGGAUGUGAUGUUAGAUUAUGUACACCAGGGAUCCAGAGCCAAGCAUAUUGAUUUAAAAUCAAUUAACACAAAACAUUACACAUUAACAUAUAUAAUUGCAAAUUCUCUGAACCCCACAGGCUCCACAGGGAUCCGCCACGACCUCUCUGUGUAUGUCCAUGUGUUUGCUUGUUUGUAUGAUUUUGGGGUGGGGUUUGAUGGUGGGACAUUGGGGGGGAAGGGUGCUGUAAAUAACAAAUAGAGAGGUAGAGGACUGACAUGUAUGGAUGAACACUUAUGCCAACAAGUUCAGGAAGGUUCUUCCUAAUCCUUUCCUAUUAAUAAGUAUUAACUUGUCGUUUUUUUAUUGCCUUUCGAAGCAUUAAACAUCCUUGAACAACAGUUGGCAGAUUGAUCCUACUCUUAUGUGCCUUUUCCUUAAAUUUGAUGCAAUUCACUCAGAUUGCCUGUGGCUGAAAGGCAGGGUACCACUGAAUGGUGUAUCACAUUUACCAAAGAUAUGCUUAUUGAAUUUUUGAAAGUGGCUGAUAGAUGAAGUAAACAUAUGCACGUCACUGUUGAUUUUGCUUAUUUGCAUGGGAUUAGAUAUUUCUUUUGCAAAACCAUUAUUCUAGUUUUUUUUUUCAUCCAUUGGCUUAUUAUACACUUGAAAUGAUCUUGCAGAUUUGAGAUGCCUUUUAACAUUUGGUGUGGUGGAUGCAAUUCCAUGAUAGCGAAGGGAGUAAGAUUUAAUGCUGAGAAGAAACAAGUUGGAAAUUAUUACUCUACCAAGGUACUUGACUGAUAACUGUACAGCUUUUUACUUACAGUUACAGUGCUAUGCACUGUUGCUGUUUGACAAUCUCCAACAUGUGAUGAAGCAUAAGAUGACUUCUCAUUUUUUUAAUUGAUUGGUAUUUGAAAAUCUGCUGAAUUUCCUUCGACAUAGGCUAGAUUCAGCCUAAUUAUUUACUUAUCAACCGAGUAUAUUGGUUUAGCUUCAACCAGGAACCAAACUGAAGCACCCAUCGAUAUUCACCUCACAUUUUUUCCUAGACUAUCAUCCUUUUCUGUCAAAUAUAAUAUACCUCACAUGGUCAAUCGUAUUCAGAAUGAUUAGUAAAUUUUAAAGUAGAAACAAAUUAUUUUUGGAAAAAGGGUUUAGCAUCAAACCAAGGGCAAAACUGAGGCAUGUGAGAAUGAUUAGUAAAUUUUAAAGUAGAAACAGAUUAUUUUUGGGUUUAGCAUCAAACCAAGGGCAGAACUGAGGCAUGUGUACUGUAGAUGUUGGUGUUGAGGUUGCCAACUAAGUUCUCUUUAAAUGUCUGAGUGAUGUGCUUCAUACCUUGUGCUUUCCUUAAAAUGUAUUUGUAAGUUCUUGAACUGAGAAAUAACAUUUAUUAGAUUAAUUUGUGUGCAAUAGGAAUAUAGGAUUCAACAUUACCUGAACCACUGUUAGGCAAAAUGGGCCACCAUAUCUUUCUGAUCUGCAUGCCUCUGUUAGUUGUGAAUCAUGAUUAAUAAAUUCAGCCAUAAAAUCUGCUCGACUACGAACCAUUGAUCAUUGAUGGGAACAUGUCCGCCAAGUUAAUUAUGGUUGUAUUCUUCAGGAGUUACAACCAGUUAACCUAGUAUUGAUGAUUAAUGUUAUUCUUCAUUCAAAACAAAUGGUCGAUGACCAAUUUGUGAAAAACAUCUGCUAAUGUUGUCUUGUGUCAUUAGAUAGAGUGAUAGACCAUAUUAUCCUUGCUAUAGGCUUCAUUGUAUCGUCGUUUGGCCAAUUUUCUUUCAAAACUUUGACAAUGUUGAAGAUAGCGACUCAACCUUCCGAAUUAACAAAUUAACCUGUGAGCUUCAGACCUGAGUGUUGCUUGUCUUUAAUAACAAAUCAUUAACAUAAGAUAAUUUUAUUAAACUUCUUUGAGUCUGACUGAUGUUCAGUGCUGCUGUUACCAGUCACAAAAAUUUGCAAAAACUGUGUUGUUGAGAAAUGACGAACUGUAGUAUUGGUACACUUAACUGCUAAUUUUAAGUACCAUGGCUUGAAAAUGCUCCAAGAUCCAACAGGCCCUUGAGGAACUUACCCUUCGAAAUGUGAUAUUUCAGUUCUGUUGUUUAAAGCUUUAAUAGUAUGAUAUCUUUAGUUAUUUUAAUUUCUGCCUUAAUCCUUUUCCUGAACAAGGUUUAGACAGAUACCAUAGGUUCUCCAAAUGACAGCACAUACAAAUGGAAUAUCAGAUGAAUGAAUUUGUCUCUAAGUUUAAUAUGGUCUGUUAACUAAUCACAAGAUUCUUUUUAGAUUUGCACUUCCACAGCAGCUUAAAAGUAAGUGUGCUAUGGAUAUUAACUGUAACCUUGACUUGAUAUUCAUAUUAAACCUAUGUGGGUGUGUGACCUGCAUCCAUUUCUCGUUUAAUAUAUCAAUUUAUUUGUUUAUUCUGAAAUGUGGCCCUACUUUGUGGGUUCCACUGUCAUUUGAUGUAAUAAUAACAAGAUCCUUUGUUUUAUUGUAUAUUCUGUCUUCUUGCCUAUAUUCAGUUUUUUUUCUCAGAAAAAAUUCUUGUGUGGUAAAAAUAUGUUUUAUGCAGUAGCUUUUAAUUCCUUUUAGGUUUAUGUAGAAUCAUUUACUAAAGUGUGUAUACUAGUUCUGUAGAAAGAUUAUAUGCAGUAGAAAAGGACUGAGUCCUAACUUGGUGCAAUCUUUAGCCAUAUCACUGUAGAAGGUCUGCAAUGUUGUAUAAUACAUGCUAACAAACUUCAUUUGUUCUCUUCUGAAAUGUGAGAAAUUCUUAAUGCCUAGAGCUUUCCAUAUAUUUCAGUUGCUUAAUUUCACAUGUUCUUCUAAAUCACUUUCUCCCUAUGCUGUUCUGACAUUGUUUAACAAAUGUUUAUUUGACAGAUAUGGAGCUUCACCAUGAAAUCACCCUGCUGCAAGCAUGAAAUUGUCAUACAGACAGACCCAAAGAAUACUGAAUAUGUCAUAAUCAGUGGGGCCCAAAAGAAAACAGAAGAUUUUGAUGUUGAGGACGCAGAGACAUUGCUGCUGCCAGCAGAUGAAGGUUCAACCCUGUAAAGAUUUAUUAUAUUCAUGAGAAACCCUUGUUUAAAAUGCAUGAUGUUUAUUUAUGGAUCUUUCCUCAGAUCGAGACAAGCUUGCGGAUCCUAUGUAUCGGCUUGAACACCAGGAAGAGGAUCUUCGGAAGAAAAAAGAAGCUGAGCCAGUUUUAGUUCGCCUUCAACGACUCUCUGACAGCCGUCACUCUGAUGAUUAUGCUCUGAACAGAGCACUGCGCGACCGUCUUAGGGUCAUCCAAUGAAUUCCUAUAAAUUAAUCAACUAUGCUCACCAUAGGCUAUGCAAUCACCACAUUUCUUAUCCACCUGUUUGUGUUUUUAUGUAGAGCCAAAAAAAGAGAGUUGCUGAAGAGAAGAAGUCCGCGAGAAAGAUGGGCCUCGGAGUGCGGCUCUUGCCUCCCUCUGCAGCUGAUGCCGCCGCGGCGGCUUCAGUGAAGUUUGCAUCAAGAUUUGAGAAGAACAGAAAGGACAAGAGAGCAGCUAUCAAAGCUGCUUCCAUCUUCCCUGAGUCAUCGAGCUCAGCAUCAAAUUGUAAACUCGACCUCGUGCUGAAGAGGCGGAACAUAAAAGCUGGCGCGGCCACCACACUGAUGGCAGGCAGGGUGAAGCCAUCCUCCUGGCAGAGCGCCAGUUCCGCGAGCUCAAGGACCCGGAUGCCGGUUCUGGCAGCGCGCAAGUAGGCAGCCCAGGCUUUCAAGCUUGAGAAAUACUUGCACUGUGCGGGAAGUAGCUGCCUGGUUCUAUAUGAAUUAUGAUGGAAUGUACGUGUUAUAGCUUUUAAUGUUACUAUGGUUUUUUGGUUGUAUCAUGGUAGUAUACCUAAAGGAUUGUGUAGGGUCAGGAACGAACGUGUAAAGUAAUGUUACCAUUGUUUUGGUUUUUUUGUGACACAGUUGUCAUUGUUUUUUGCUGUAUACUGGUUGGGACUUGAGAUUACCUGGUAAUGGGCCAGCAUCCGUACUGAAACUGCACCAAUCUAUUUUGAACAUACAAGUACAGUAAACCCACCCCGCGCACCAUUUCUUCGGCUGUGGAAACCACACCAAACCCAUUUGCCAUGGGGUCUCCUUUUGCUGCCCGUCGGCAGUGCACGCGGCCGGAGAGCUGGGAAUCGGCCCUGCGAGGCAGUUGUGGUUUCGUAGGAUCCCCACCUGUCGUUGCUGCUUCCGUGGAGUUGGACUUGAACACAAUCUGCUCAGAGCUCAGACGCGGCUGCAAGCAGCGCAGGCGGCAGCUUCAGCGGCGACAAAGCAGCCGAAGAUGGAGAGCGUCCGGAGGUGCAGCAGGCCGCGCAGAUAGGCAGCGUCGAGGUUGAGCCCGGACUUGCACGGCGGGGUGGCGACGUCGGAGCCGAAAUGGAGGUGCGUGGUGUGGAACUGCGGCCACGGCGUGUCGGGGCAGGGCGGACGUGGUCCGCCAUCACACGGAAGACCACCCUCGGCAGCUCGGCGCCGGCGCGUCGACUUCGUCAGACGAACGGAUGAGUUCCACCGCCAGACCCGUCUUUUUUUUUUUCGUUCACCACUGCACCAUCACGAGCCGAGCGGAGCAGACACUUUUUUUUUUUUUUUUUUUUUGCCAAGCCAAAUUGGCUCGCUGGUCGUUGCCCGAAUGCUUGCUGUCCCCACCUGCUGGCCUCCACUCUUAUCUUUUUUCUGCCGUGAACAUUUUUCCCACUACUCGUAGCAAUCAAAGACCCACCCGCAGAAAGCUAGCCAGCCAAAGUGCCAACCCCCCAAACCCCCAUUAUAUCUACCACUAGCACUGCGAAGUGCGAGCGAAACUAAUCGCUCAAUUCUUCGUCGCCUCCUUCAUUUUGCCAGUUGCCACCAAAUACGCCGCGGCCGCUGCCUCACCCCGCUAGUCCGGCCGCCCUCCCCUCCUCGCAAGAAGCGUUCCUCCUGCCUGCAUCUUGGCUAGGUAACUGGUUCUACUUCCUUGUGUUCCUCCCUGUUUCCUCCUAUGUUUGGCCGGGCUCUGUGGUGCACUGGUGCUGUUCUUGGAUUUCUAGUUUUCCUGAAAGUUUUCUUUCUGCCUCCGAAUUUGGCCGCGGGAUCCCCAAAUUUGGGCUAUUUUUCUCUAUGAUAUGAUUCUUGCGGUGCCCGGUUGUUCAGUUCAGAAUUUAGAUUAUUGUUCAUACAGUCUCUACUUAGCAGGGUACAUGUUCUUACUUCGGCAAACCAAAUUCUAAUCCGCGACCGAUAGCGCUAGGCCUAUGCACUUUGUAGUCCUUAACCUCCUAAUGUAGCCCUUUCUCUUUACCUUAUGUUAUACUUUUUUUUUCUGUCGGUAGAACCCCUUGUUUGUGUUUUAUUUCUUUCUGAGGUGUCAGAGUUUACAUAUCCACCUUGAGUCAGUUCAUCGCUGUCCAUCUUAUCGAUAUUCACUAAUCCUUUUCUCUGAAAGGAACUACUAAAGUUGGAUUUCUUCUCUGUUCUUAUGGCAGGAUCUGUAUAUGCCUUUUUCGGUGAACAAGAACUGAAAGACUACUGUCCCGACCACCCAGCAAUUUGCCAGAUUCUUUCUUGCCCAAAACCCCAAAGAGAAAAGGCCCAAUGUUCUGCUAAGCUAGAGAUGUUCCUAGAGCCAGCCAUCUUAUCUUAUAGCUAAACUGCUGUAAAAAGAGCCUUGUGAGACACCAACAAUCAAAUGGCACACCCAACCUUGUCAGCUACCCUCAGAUGCCUCACACUGCUAUGCAUCUUGGCACUUGCCGUGGCGGCUGACAACAAUACCAUUGGCUCUGGCCAGAUACGCUUGGAUUGUGGAGCAACAAGCCCAACAGGCCCAGAUGCUGAUGGCCGGAGCUGGGACAGCGACACCAAUUCCAAGUUUGCGCCUGCACUGAAAGGAAUUGCAGCAACUGCUUCAUACCAGGACUCUUCACUACCAUCCGCUACGCCUUACAUGACUGCUCGCAUCUUCACCUCAAAUUACACCUAUUCCUUUCCUGUUAGUCCUGGCUGCAUGUUCGUGCGCCUCUACUUCUAUCCUACCAAUUACGUUAGCAACCAUGCUGCUGCAGAUGCUUACUUUGGUGUCACAGCCGGCAAUCUGACCCUUUUAUAUGACUUCAAUGCCUCCCAAACUGCUGCGGCAGUUACUCCAGUUAGUGUCGCCUUCUUUGUUCGUGAAUACUACAUAAACGUUACUGAAGGCAGCCUAAACCUCACUUUCUCCCCAUCCACACACCACAAUGGCUCUUAUGCAUUCAUCAACGGGAUCGAAAUUGUGCCCACACCUGACCUCUUCACAACACCAAAACCAACACUAGUCAAUGGAGGAAACAUGGAUCUUGCUGGAACGGGGUUCCAAACAAUGUACCGGCUUAAUGUAGGAGGCCAGGCCAUCCCACCACAAGGAGAUGUUGACUUCUACCGUUCAUGGGGAGACGACAGUUUUUACAUAUAUGCUUCUGAUUAUGGUGUGACUUUUGGGAAAGACAACAAUCUUACAAUCACGUAUACACCCAGUGUACCAAACUACACUGCACCAUUUAAUGUCUAUGCAACUGCUCGCUCUAUGGGGCCAAAUGCCCAGAUCAACCUGAACCACAAUCUUACAUGGAUUUUACCUGUUGAUGCUGGGUUCUACUACCUCCUAAGGUUCCAUUUCUGUGAGAUCCAGUAUCCGAUAACAAAGGUGAAUCAGAGGUCAUUCUUCAUCUACAUCAACAAUCAGACAGCACAACAGCAAAUGGAUGUCAUCGCGUUUAGCGGAGGAAUUGGCAACACAGUGUACAGAGAUUAUGUUACCAUCACAGCUGGUUCUGGUCAGACGGAUUUAUGGGUUGCCCUCCACCCAGAUCUUUCGACGAGACCUGAGUACUUCGAUGCAAUAUUGAAUGGUCUGGAGGUCUUCAAGCUGCAGAAUUAUGGAAACAAUAGUCUUAAUGGGCUCAACCCUCCCCUUCCAUCUGUUGAAACUAAUAAUGGGAAAUCUAGUGGCAGAAACAAAAGUUCUGUGCCGGCAAUCGUUGGUGGAGCUGUUGGUGGUUUUGCUGCGCUGCUCAUUGCCUUUAUUGGUGUGUGCAUCAUCUGCAGAAGAAAGGAGGUAGCAAAGGAAUCUGGGAAACCCGAUGAUGGCCAGUGGACUCCUCUCACUGAUUACAGCAAGUCACGGUCAAACACCUCAGGGAAGACAACAACUACAGGGAGCCGUACAUCAACAUUGCCAUCUAAUCUUUGCCGCCACUUCUCAUUUGGUGAAAUCCAGGCAGCCACCAAUAAUUUUGAUCAAACCUCGCUCCUCGGCAAAGGUGGUUUUGGAAAUGUGUACCUUGGAGAGAUAGAUAGUGGCACAAUGGUGGCAAUCAAGCGUGGUAACCCAACGUCUGAGCAGGGUGUGCACGAGUUCCAGACUGAGAUUGAGAUGUUGUCGAAGCUCCGACACCGUCACCUUGUGUCGCUGAUUGGGUAUUGCGAUGAUAUGAAUGAGAUGAUUCUAGUGUAUGAUUACAUGGCCAAUGGGACUCUGAGGGAGCACUUGUACAACACCAAGAAGCCAGCACUCUCCUGGAAGAAGCGGCUUGAGAUAUGUAUCGGUGCCGCUCGGGGACUGCAUUACCUGCACACAGGUGCAAAGCAUACCAUCAUACACAGAGAUGUCAAGACCACCAACAUUUUGUUGGAUGACAAAUUGGUUGCUAAGGUUUCUGACUUUGGGCUGUCAAAGACUAGUCCAAAUGUCGAUAACACCCAUGUGAGCACGGUUGUGAAGGGAAGCUUUGGAUACCUUGACCCUGAGUACUUCCGACGGCAGCAGCUCACUGAGAAAUCUGAUGUCUACUCAUUUGGAGUCGUGCUGUUUGAGGUCCUCUGUGCACGCCCUGCCCUGAGCCCCUCGCUUCCAAAGGAGCAAGUGAGCCUCGCCGACUGGGCACUGCACUCCCAGAAGAAAGGCAUUCUUGGGCAGAUCAUCGACCCAUAUCUGCAAGGGAAAAUCUCUCCCCAAUGUUUCAUGAAGUUCGCGGAGACCGCAGAGAAGUGUGUGGCUGAUCACAGCAUCGAUAGACCAUCUAUGGCCGAUGUCCUCUGGAACCUUGAAUUUGCACUCCAGCUGCAGGAGAGUGCGGAGGACAGUAGCAGCGUCACCGACGGGACAUCUUCAAACACGUCUCCACUUACCAUCCUCAGGCUUCACUCGGAUGAACCAACGACAGACACCACCACCACCACAUCAACGAGUAUGAGCAUGACAGGACGGAGCCUCGCAAGUGUGGAUUCAGAUGGGCUGACCCCAAGCAGUGUCUUCUCGCAGCUCAUGCAUCCAGGUGGCAGAUGAAAACCGAAAAUAGAACUGCAGCCUGCAGUUAAUCUCUUCUGAUCUGCUAUAUGUUUCUAGUUUCAUGGUAUAUAUAUAUAUGACCUACUAGUAUAGUUAUCCUAUAUACAUAUAUAUUCAGCAUAUAGUUGCUUCAUCUUAAUAAAAAGUAGUUCAUCCUAUAUGUAUGUAUUGUGCCAGAGCCUGCAGAAAUCACUGUAAUGGCAAGGUACUUCCCUUUAAAUUAUCUGCUUAAACAUGUACCUGAGGUAUGUUUCUCACUUCAAGGCCGAUUUGUAAUAUUCACAUAUAUAUGAAAGUAAGGUGUCACCCUUUGAUUUCCUUGAUUGUAAUCUCCUUAACUAGUAAAUGAAUUGGGAGACACAGAAGGUUCAAAACUGAAAUCAUGCAUUUUCGGUUCAUGGACCCAUAUACUUUUUUCUCACCAAGUUUGUGUUCAGUGUUUGGCCAUCAGACCAUAGUAGUCAUAUAUAUUUACUGAUCGACAGUCUACACUGUGAUUCCUGCCCACCUUGAGCUGUGAGGAGGCAUCGCAAGCUGAAGGAAUCACAAUAAUACAUGACACUCAGAUACUUCAUAGUGCAUACCAUACUGUAAUGUCUCACACGCCAGCCCAGUGAUUACAAGGGCAUAUGCCAGUGAGGCCAAAAGUGAUUGUUGUUAGCGGAAAUAUCACAAUUAUGAUGGGGUCCAUGCAUGCAGAAUCUGUUACCACACGACUCGUGCUGAUGACACGGUCUUCCAUCAAACAAUAAACCUAUGUGCUCCUCUUUCCAGAGUCCAGACAGCCGCCAUGCCGGACGACCUAUCCGUUCCGUCAACAUGCCAGUCAGUGUCUCCGCUGGACUCAUCCGAAUUCGUCAAAAAGGAAUUCCAGCAUACGGGCCCCACAAAUUGCUGAAAAGUCUAGGUCACCAACCUACGCACAGUGCUAUGCAAUUAUUAAUUAAUUAUACAUGGUAUAAACCAAAACACCAGUCUUCAUUUUGAUUUCUUCUGAAAAGGUAGCUAGGUCGUCUGACGUGACCGGAUAACUGUCGAUCGAGCCCGUGACACGCUCAAGGCUCCCUGCUGGGGACGGCAAAUGGUUACUGUGUCCACCAUAAUUCAGUUUCAUCCACAUCUAAAUCUAAAUGCUUUUUGACAUUUUCAAUAUUCAACAGAAGUCAUACUCACAAAAGCGAAAAAUAUCCCCGUGGCAAGCAAUCGGCCGGGAUUGCAUGCAGCAGCCGGCAGCCGCGCCCUUUGGCUCUUUGCCAUGGAAAGUAGAGAGAAGUUUUUUUGACGCAUACGGCAGAAAAGUCCCCUAUCUAUAUUUUUUUUAUUAAAAUAUGAACAAAAGAAUACAAUAAUGUACAGGGACAAUACAAGGCCUUCAAGGCCAAAGGCAAAAAAACUGUGGUACCCUAUAGCCUAUUCUCACACCAAGCCUUCAAGGGUUCAGCAAUAUUCUUCUUAGCCUUGAUGCAAAACCAGGCCAAAGUCUUAAGUGCCGGCCUGGAGAAAACAAUUGACAGAUGUUAGUGAAAGCAAGCUGUUGUCACCAUUGUUAGUUCUCGGAACCUACCACUAGCUAAUAACGUGCCAGCAGCUAUGAGACUAUCUAUUUCUAUUCAGUUGAGGCAUGCAUUGCCGUGGAGGUCAAAGCACGCGAGGCAGCCGCGAAAGCUACAACACGGUAGCUACGCUCCAUUUGCACUGCACCGUACCCAGAUAAUUAGUCUCAUUCAGUUCAUCAGGCAUGCAUUGCCCUGGACUGGAGGCCAAAGCACGAGGCAGCUGCGAAAGCUACAGCGUACACGAUGGGCUCCAGUUGCACCAUCGACAACGAUUUUUUUUUAAAAAAAACAAUAUUAUAUUUCAAUAAAGAAAUAAAAAUAGGGGCUUGUCGGCCAUAUGCGACGACAACAACCAACUUGAGCUAGCGAGCCCGCUCGUUUAUCUUAUAAUUUAUAUUUUUUUACUAGUUAAUAGUGUUUUCUCUUACGAUAAAUCAGAUUUUUAGCUAUAUCUUUUGAGACCAGCAAAUAGCUUAACUUCUUUUUCUUUAUUCUUCUUUGUUGUGUUGAAAAUAAUGUUCCAAUCAUAUUUAAGUGUUCAUUUCCUAAUAACAUCAAUAAAAUGACACGUGGAAUCCGAUGGAGCAUUGUUUUUCUUUCUCGGACACUGAACUUUUACCGGUCCGCUGGGAGCACUGAGCGUGCCACAAGCAAGGGAGGGGCAUGGGGAGAUGGCCGCGCGUAGACUCACGGUGGUGCUCAGCACGACGCGAAUAAGUCGAAGUCGCUGGUGGCGGCGCGCCUGGUCCUCCCGUGGCUGUGGGAGUGGUGGGCGAGGAGGAAGGUUGAGGGAUUAGGGUUAGAUUUUGUAUAUAUAUACUGGACUGCUGCUGGGCCUCCAUGGGCUGAUUUGAAGAGACCUAAAGCUGCGCCGCUAUAAGCUAUUUGCGGGGCAGGUUUGCGAGGAUCGGGUUCGGGGAUGGAUCCCCAUCCCCAUCCCCGCCAGCCCCGACGGGGACUGCUUUUCUACCAUUUUGGAUACCCGUGGGGGAGAAAUUGGCACCAUCUUCAUCCUCUAAUAGAAAGAAUUCCUCGCGGGGAAUCGGGGAUCGGGCCCCGUUGCCAUCUUUAUUACCAGGCGAGUCCUUUUCAAAACUGUUUGGUUCCGGGGCGAGGAGGGUCAGGACCCGUCCCCUACAAUCGAGGGGACGAGUUCGUCCUCGUUGGCGGCGUCCCUCGUCGGCUCGUCCGUCUAUGUCCACGAGUGAAGCGGAUGAAGGCGCAGAGACCAGGACGAGCGAAAUGGAACGCACCUCGAUAGCCGGCGGCGGGGAGAUUGCGAUGGCUUGCGACCGGAGCCCCUCCCAGCGACGCGGGACGUACGAUGUGGAAUGUGCGGCAGCCGUGAGCUCAUAGCAAUGGAUCUCGCGGCGGCUGAGCUCCUGGCAAGCGGUGCCAGCAGCGCAACCUGGUGUCUAGUGAGGGAGGCGCGGUCCCCCUGCGAGGGCAGCGCUGGGCGGGCGGCGCGUCGUUCGCGGUGCAGGCGGCGCGGCGUACGAAACAGGAGUUUUACCGAGCGGGCGGCGGCGCACUGCGAGAGUCCGUGAGAAGAAGAUGAGACACUCACAAUGCAGACUCUACCAUAGAGUCUAAAGUUAUUUAUUACCUCGAACAAUAUGAACUUAGAGUCUAAAUAAAACUUUGAGUCUUAUUUUUUCUACCUCUUUCUUCAAUAAAUAUGUUGCCACAUCAGUAAAAUACCAUAAAUAAUAUGUAAUUAAUUGUCUUGGACUCUGUGAUAGAGUCUUGUAUUGUGAGUGCCCUAAGGCCGUAAAAGAAAUAAUUAUAGUAAGCAUGGAAGAUGACAUGUGGACCCAUAAACGAAAGUUACUUUGACGUCGACGACGAUUUAAUAACAAAAGUGCUCCUCGUCUACCAAGCCAACUGCCUCAGGCCUCGUUUAGUUACACCCAAAAUCUAAAUCUUUUUUAAGAUUCCUCUUCUCGCUGUCGCCCUAGGCACCUCGCCGCACUCAGCCGCGCCGUCACCACGAGAUGGGGGCAGCGACCUCCCCUUACUCUUCAAGGUCUGUGACGUCGCCUCCGGCAUUCCCCAUCGUGGGCCCACCUCCGGCAUCUCUCCCCUUCGUAGGCCCACCUCGCCGUCGUCGUCUGUGGGUAGCGUGCCUUCCUCAUCUCGUCGCCCGAACAAGCACCAGCUCGUGGCCACCACUUCUGGAGCAGGUGUAACCGACAGUGAGACCUUCUGCGGUCAUGGAUCUAGAGCAAGCGUGAGCUAUCCCCGUUAUGGUGGUGGGGACUGGGGACACGGCAUGGGGGCGCCCGUGUUUUCGUCUUCUAGUUGUAGUGUGGUGGCGCCGGAGCAGGUUCUUCAGGUCCCGUGCUGCCCUCGAUGCCGGCCGUGGCGAGGCAGAACAACCGCGCGGCCGCCGCGUUGAGCCAGCUUCGGUCGUGGUGGUGGGCCUGGCGCUGCAUGGAGACGCAAAGAGACAGAUAUACAACGCAUAUUUGUGCUCCGCGUAGCCUCCGACCCAAAAUAGGUCAUGUGAUUGCGUGCUCCGUUGGAGCAUGUUUUCUUGCCACUAAACCAUUGUACACCAUCCAUUUUGAAUAUGGGUCAUGGUAUGCGACCGUUGUUGGAGUUCUCACUCGUUUCUUGCUGAGCAACUGGAAAGAGAGCGCUUGUUGGAUGCCUGGAUGGACCGUGUUGUGGUACAGCUACAGUAUAGGUUAGACCCACUUCAGUAAGACCUCUCAAGACUUCUCAGCCCAGAACAACAACUGUUUGCGUAUUGGGCUCUCAAUGGUAAAGUUCAUUAUGCAGUCUAACAAAGUAUAAAACUCUUGUCUCAUUCCACUGAAAAAGAACUCCUAAGCUCAAAAAAAAAACCAAAAAAAACUCCUGUUUCAUUCACAAAUUAAUCUGUCCAUUUAAUGGGUGAUUGUUGAGCAAGCAGUGCUCUGGGUGAUGGCCGGAGCUAGACUAAUUUUGCAAUAACAGUUACAGAUGGGGACACUUUAUUUUAAAGGAAAAACGACAUCACCUAGCGCCCCCCUAGCGUUGUGAGGCUCAUGCCAUUAAUGGACAAUUCCUUGUUGUCGCCGGCCUUUUCAGGUUGGGAAUCCCUACAUGCGAAACACAUGGGUUUUUUUGGUGAUGGGAGUGCCGUGGUUUUGUUCUCCAACAUAAACACAACUUCUGACAUGAGUGGCCUACAAUUCGGGCUGUUUUGAACACACAACAGUCCUAUAUGGAUGCAUCUUGCAACUUCGUCGAGGGAGCAACUCUCCAUAAGAGAUGAGUCAACAAAGUCUUCUAUGUUGCCAUCUCUCCAUAAAUUCCAUGCCUGAAUAGAAAUACAACUUUUACAAUGAUCCAGCGUAAGCAUGGACUUAUAGUUUUAAUCCUGAGCAUACUUACAUAUUCUAUGAGGUUAGAAAAACCCUCGAUGCGAUGUGGUGAGCUGAUCUUUAGUCCACUAACCAUCUCCAACAAUAAAACACCAAAGCUGUAGGUGUCUGACUUAACUGAAAAGGCGCCUUCCAUCACAUACUCAGGGGACAUGUAACCACUGCAAAAGAUUUCACCAAACCUUUGUAAUCAAACUCUUUGUCUGCUUAAUGAAAUACAUACCUCGGUAUGCUCUCAAAAAAGACAUGUAACCGCUGCAAAAGAUUUCACCAAUGUAUAGGGUACGUAUAUACACACAUUCACACAGUCUGAAUAAGCAUGAGCAAACAAUUUGUAUAUCAAGAACUAACAGGGCAUGAGUUGCUUACUAUGUCCCAACAAGACGAUUAGUAUUUGCUUCAAGCUCGUUGCCACUGAAUAUCCUUGCCAUACCAAAAUCUGAUAUCUUGGGGUUCAUCUCCUUAUCCAACAAGACGUUGCUUGCCUUGAGAUCUCUAUGGAUUAUUGUUAAUCUUGAAUCCUGAUGCAGAUACAAAAUUCCUCUAGCUAUCCCUUGCAUUAUCUUACACCUUAUUGGCCAUGGAAGCACGUGCUUUCUUGCAGAGUCUAAUAAGAAUAGCAUGAAAAAAAAGGCAUAUAUAUGACUACUCAUUUAUUGGGUACUAGGGUUUCUCAGUUUUUUUUAAAGGAAGGGUUUCUCAGAUUCAUGGUAUGAAAAAGAUGAAUGUACCAAAAAUGAAGUAAUCCAAGCUCUUGUUGGGCAAGUAUUCAUAAACCAACAGCUUCUCAUCUUGGUGAACGCAACAACCAAUAAGCUUAACUAGGUUCUUGUGUUGCAAAUUUGCAAUCAAGACUGCUUCAUUUCGAAACUCCUCUGUGCCUUGUCCUGAACCCUUGCUAAGUCUUUUGACAGCUACUUCCUUGGUACCUUGCAACACUCCCUACAAGAUUUUCAAAAUCAAAGAAUUUUCUGUACUUAUCAAAGUAAAUUUUUUGUAAUUAGUACAGUAGUACCUUGUAAACCUUGCCAAAUCCUCCCUUCCCAAGCUCAUUGGAGUCCGCGAAAUUGUCAGUUGCUGCGACAAUGUCUUCAAAGCUAAUAAAUGGAGACUCCAAAUUUUCCCCAGCUUCAUCCGUAGACCUCAAAUACUCUAGCAUCUUUCUCCUCUCUGUUUUCUUCUUUUGCCGUUUGCCUGCUAGUAGAAACAUCAAUGGAAUUUCCCCCCUCAACAGGGGUUGUUUGGUUGCUAGACACAAUUUGCCACACUUUACCUUAGUCAAGUUUGACCAAGUUGACAAGUGUUUGGUUGACAACUAAGCUUAGGCAUGAUUCUUUAGGGCUCCACAUGUCAUAGAGUAAAAAAGUGUGACAAGAUUCCUUUAAGCAUGGUAAAGUGUGGCAACUAAUUUGCUAGCCACACUUUUUGUGGCUUGCCACACUUACCUAAAGUUAGUUGCGGUGGAUUAUGGCUACCAACCAAACAUCCCCGUGACACAACAACAUUGCAGUUUGGAAGACAGGGCUCUUGAUCUUUGUACCUCUGUAUUUGCAUGUCAAGAAGAAAGCUAUGGAUGCAAGAAGCAGCAGGCAUGCUAUGAUCGGAAGCAAAAAUUUUAGUGAGAUUCUCUUGUGUUGAACUGCAAGCAAAAAUGUGUAUCCCGUUAGUAUUUUCUGCAUAACACAUUAUUACUUGCCAUAGUGUUAGUUGGCUAUAUCUGUGAGCACUCAACUCCUAAAAGGACUGACUGUGAAACACUUGAAGCACCUAAAUACAAGCCAAACUGUGUAGCUGCUAGCAUUGCUGGACAUUGGUAGUAAGCUAAGGUUUCAACUAAAUGGAUAUUUUUUUUUGAAAGGAAAAAAUGGAUAUUAAAGAUACAUAGAGGUGUCAUCCAAAUGGGGAAGAAAACUAUGGAUAUAGCUAAGAAGAAAUACUCCCUCGUCAUAAUAACAAAUGUAUUUAGAGAGAGAGAUGGAGUAUGUUGUGUUUCAUUUGUAGGUUUAAAAGUAAGACUGGGCGGGAGUGCAUACCAUGAGAUCUGGCAAGCCGGAGGUACAGGUUCUGACCAGAGCUGGCAGCUGAUGCUUUCCCUGUGUCGACGAGAUCUCCCGUCCAAAGCAGGCACCUCAUCGACGUGUCGACCAAAGCGCCGGCGCUGCUCACGUUGACGUAAGCAUACGCCGUGCAAGAGCAGUUCGCGCUGCACUCGGCGGCGCACUGCUCCAAGGUUGUGUUGCCGAUCUGCAAGAACUUAUCGGGAACCGUCAUCCCGGGCAAAGUCACGAAACGGUCCUCCCCUCCGCCGCACUCCAGCGCGUCGUUCCUCCGGCAUCCCCUGGAAAUGUCGAGGCCGUCGAUGGGCUCGAACCCAUCGAGGCACCGGCAGCUUGGCACAGCCUCUGUGUGGUCGCAGUAGCCGAACGCGCCGCACGACGCGUAGAGGUCGCAGCCAGGGCCGGGACGCUCAAAGCUGGGUGUCCACUGUGAGGACGUAGUGUUGCUGUUCUGCCGGGUCAGGAGGCUCAUGCUGCCGUCGUGCUUGAGCAAAACACGCGUCAACGGUGAGCCGUGGUGGGAGACGUUGACGUUGUACGUGUAGUAGACCUCGUCACCUGUGUUGAUCACCGACGGGUGCACGACGGCGGAGGUAGCGCCGCCGCCGAAGCUGAACACUGAGACGUCGUCGAAAAAACUGAUGCGGUAGUAGGGCCGGCCGCUGUUCCAAACGAAGAACUGGAGGUUUGAGCUGGGAUCGAUGCUGCCGGAGAAGUCCCCGGGGGACAUGUCGCCGGGGCUCUUGCAAGCGACUAUGCUCGUGUUCACGAUUCCCUUGUAGCUGAGCAAAACCUUCAUCGUCGGGAGGAUGGUGGCGGAUGGGUGGUCGAAGCUUUGCCACCAUAUGGCGGUGCCGCCGCCGUUGGCUGACCGGAGGACAAAGUUUCCAGAGUUGAGUAGCACCGCGACAACUCCGGUGGUGGUGGUGGCCGCCGCCGCCGCCGUCGUCGUCGUCGUCCAUAGAGCACGGCCGGAGUCGGACAGCAGCGCGAGCUGUUGGUCGUUGGUGAUGGCGAGCUUCGCAGAGGUGGUGACCGGGUUGUCGCGAUUAGCGACCCACACAGUGACAUCACGAGUGCCGUUGUACUGGUACCAGAUCCCGAGGUACAAGCUCUCGUUGGAGUUGGAAGGGGAGAAGAAGCCAAGAGCGAACACACCGUUCCUGGAGACGAGCGUGUCUCCGGGGUAGAGUGGCUUUGCUUGUGUGAGCGUGUCAUCCGAUUCCGAUUGGCAGGGUGAAGUGAUGAUGAAGACGAAAAUGGGAAGAAGAAGGAGGGCGGCCAUGUCCAUUAUUAUUAGGCCCUUGUGUCGUGCAUGGGCAUGAUGAUGAUGGUUUAAUUUCUCUUCUUGCUCUUGUGGUAGUGGAAAUUAAAUAAGUGGAUGUAUAUAUGAUGUGUGGAUCUGGUGGAAAGUGAUGCUUCGUCAAAAUCAGAACGCAACUCUCAUCUCAUCACCUGGAACUGGAACAGCAGGACUGCAAGUGUGGCCGGUGGCGCUGACGAAGGGGUUGGUGAUUGGCGCGCGGCGAACCACACGGCGAGGUGAUCGUGAUUCGGCCGGUGCAGGUACGCCACCGCGCGCGGCACCACCGGCGGUUGGCGGAGGAGCUGGGGGUGCGGACCGCGAAGUGGCGGAGAUCGACGCGGACUAGCUAGCUAGUAGUAGCCUUGCUCGAGUGAGUCACGGUCUCAUCUGCUUUGUGUUGUCUGUUGUGUCAACCUACCAUACCAGUGGUUGGAUGGCGAUCAAAACAAGAACUCGCCGGGGAUGAGAAUGUACCGUCCAGUCCAGGACGUAGUAUAUGUAGGCCAUGACCAUUGACGACCCGCGUGCUAUUGUCUCCGUGAGACCGCGAAGAAGAAAGCACGAUCACGUACACGACACGCUUGAUGGCUUGAGGACUGAGGUCGCGUCAAGUCUAGGCAUUCAAGUAGUGGUAGGACCCGCGCGCGCAUCUCCGCUGGCCGGUGGAUCGCCACGCGAGCACGACCCGGUCUAGGCUUCUUUACUUGCAAAAUAUUUUAUAAAAUAUGAAUAGUAUUAAUUUCGUUUAUAUUUGAUAAAUAUUGUCCAAUCAUAGAUUAACUAGGCUCAAAAGAUUCGUCUCGUCAAUUUCGUCCAAACUGUGUAAUUAGUUUUUAUUUUCGUCUAUAUUUAGAGCCUGUUUGGUACAGCUUACAACAGCUUCAUGAGCUGUUGUAAGCUGUUUUUUUUGUCAAACACUUAUUUCCAAAACAACUUUAUGGGUGAAGCUGUUUUUCCACUUCUCUCACAAAGACAUAAGUUGUGAUGAAGCUGAAAAAAGUAGCUUAUUGUAGCUCUUUCUCUUAUUUCUCUCUCAACUAUGCAUGAACUAGUUGGUGAAACUAUUUUGCCAAAUAUUUUUCCCAAAACAGCUUAACUUCAUCUAGAAAGUCACUCAUAAAGUUAUUUUCUAAAAAACAAUUUUACUAGUGAAGUUGAGCUGUGCCAAACAAGCCCUUAAUACUUUAUGCAUAUGUCUAAACAUUCGAUGAGAUAGGUAGAGGAACUACAGUACUAUUAUGUAUCGUCUCCGUCAGCCACAGUGGACUGCCCACACGAGAUAUAUAGGACUGUCGAGCAAGAUGACAAAAGCAUGACGCGACUUCACGAACGAAAGAUAUAUACGAUGGUACUGGUAACAUGUACUACGCUCAUGCUGAGGCCUUGUUUAGUUUCCAAAAAAUUUCAAAAUUUCCCGUCACAUCGAAUCUUACAGCACAUGUAUGGAGUAUUAAAUUUAGACAAAAACAAAAACUAAUUACACAGUUUAUCUGUAAAUCACGAGAUGAAUCUUUUGACUCUAAUUAGUCUAUGAUUGGACAAUAUUUGCCACAAACAAACGAAAGUGCUACAGUGUCAAAACCUAAAAAUUUUGCCAACUAAACAAGGCCUUAGGUGCAUGGGUGGUCUCGACGACGACGACUUCGUCGGUCAGUCGGUCACACGUCGCCAAGCGCGCGCACGCAGCACAGCACGCUACCGCGAAGAACGCGGCUGUUGGAAUUGAAACGCGUACAAGGAACAGCGAAGAUAGAUUGAUCCGGCCUGCCGCGGCAUACAGUGCAGUCUAGUAAAAGCCCCAGAUGAAAUUUUUUUUGUUACAUUGAAUAUAUCGGAAGGAUGUCGGGAGGAGUUUUUAGAAACUAAUAAAAAAACAAAUUACAUAGCUCGUUAAAAAACUGCAAGACAAAUUUAUUAAGCAUAAUUAAUCUGUCAUUAGUACAUGUGGGUUACUGUAGCACUUAAGGCUAAUCAUAAUGUAACUAGGCUUAAAAGAUUCGUCUCGCGAUUUUCAGUCAAACUAUAUAAUUAGUUUAUUUUUUAUGUACAUUUAAUGUUACGUGCAUGUGUCAAAGAUUCGAUGGGAUGGAUGAAAAAAUUUUAGAUGGAAAACUAAGGGCCUAAGCCAGCAACAGGCCAACAGAAAAAGGACGAAGGCAGUGACCGUCGGAAAGAAGAAUCACUCGAUCAUCGGAUGCACAUAACUAACGGCAUGUUUGCUUUGUCGUGUUAAAGUUUACUGCCGGAAUGUUUCGAUAAGUAUUAAAUAUAGACUAUUUACGAAACUAAAAACACAGCUGGAGAGUAAUUUAAGAGACGAAUUUUUUAAGCCUAAUUAGUCUAUGAUUAAAUAAUAAUUACCAAAUAAGACGGAACUACUACAGGAGUACUUGUUAAACUUUAACACCCAAACCAAACACCCUCUAACAUAUAGUUCAAGACAUGGAAGAUCAAGGCUACCGGAUGAUAUGGACCGGGUUGCAUAAGAACAACCUAGCCAGUAGAUCAUCCGAUGAAGACCAGAGUCAUGGUCCAAUAGAAUACCCGGCCGGAUGGUAUGGACGACGAUGAAGGAUAAGACGCCAGAUCAUCCGGAGAAGAUGGCCUAGUGUCAAUGAGUGAAGAUUCAACGGUAGACUGAGAAUAUACCCCAUUAGAUAUAUAGUAUGGUGUUGUAUGGUGCGCACAAAAAUUAGUGGAUUUAUUUUUUUUUCCAAUGGCUUGUGUUAAGGGUGAUGUGGCUAUAUGUAUUAGAUUGCAUCAAUUCCUUGAGUAUGCUAGAGUGCCCCAAAGUUGUUACAGUGCAAGUUAGAGUGAGUGUUUUUCUACACUUCAUCCAUUCCCUGAACUUAUUCAACUUCAGUGUAUCUUCAUAAGUUUGAGACCAUAAAGCUUGAGAGCUUUGAGUGAUUAGGCCAUGUUUUCCAUGUAUCUUGGUGAUCUGGAAUGCUUUCAAACCCCCACUCAUGUAGUGUGGAGAAACUAUGUAGUGGACUUGGCAUUAAGGUGACCGAAAGAGCCCCCAUGGUAGUAGUGAGAUCGUGUGAAUCACACACUAGCCUUAGGUUGGUAGAGGCAUUGGGUGGUGAAUCCAACAUCGUGACCAAUAGAGACUAGCUUGACCAGGAGCAUACCUUGGUAGAGAGCUUGAAUUAUGGGUUUCAUUUUGACAAUCGAUACCAUAGGAUAUAACUUGGUGUCUCCAAGAGUUUGCCCUCUCUAUCCAUAGUAAUAGGCUAGUUCAUAGGAUCCCUAUUACCACAACCUCCUCUAGUAGCCGAGCGGCCUAUAGGAGCAUCUCUUGGUCCUCAUGGCGCUGUAGUUAUGCCCACUGCCGAAGCCAAUGUGUUCCCCUUAAUAGUACCUACAAGAAUAUUUUUGGUCUACAUCUAUGAAAUAUUACCUCAUUUCUUGUUGAACAGUAUUAUCCUUUUGCACGCACAUAGGGAAGACUUCUUUAUUGAUCUGGUGUGAUCGACUUGCUUAGGGAAGGUUGAGAACUUUUCUUUUCCUUUCAAAAAGGAUGACCUAGAUAGUCCAACGCAAUGCUGCCACUGCAAUUAAUAAAGAUAGAUUAUAUUUGCACUCACAAUGCAAGACUCUAUCACAGAGUCCAAGACACUUAAUUAUAUAUUAUUUAUGGUAUUUUGCUGAUGUGGCAGCAUAUUUAUUGAAGAAAGAGGUAGAAAAAAUAAGACUCCAAGUCUUAUUUAGACUCCAAGUCCACAUUAUUCGAGGUAAUAAAUAACUUUAGACUCUAUGAUAGAGUCUGCAUUGUGAGUGCCCUAAUUUACACCAUCUAUUAAAUGAGUCGUGUAUAUGUUAAUUGGUCUUGAGAUUCCAAACAAUAAAUGAAUAGCUCUCCACAGGAAAUCAGCAUAUGCACGAUCAAAAAACACGAUAGCUGAAGUUUUAAAGUCCACUUAAUAUUAGGGCAUAUGAAUUACAUCCUAAAUUGUUUCGGAGCAAUCUUUAUCUUACAAAUAGGCCUAGGUGGCGAUGACAUGACUCCUUGUCACGUCGAGCACUAAUGUCACCUUUGAAAAACGAAGGAUUGAGUUCCUAGGGAUGCACGUACCAGGAGAUUCGCCAAGUCGAAUGUACAAGACCUCUUCAAAGAUUUGUUUCUCCAUGUCAAUGAGAUCCCCGGCCCAAACCAAACACCUCCUGCUUAGGUUGGCAUAGGCGUAUCCCUGGUUGAUGGAUCGUCAGAGUUCUGAGCCUCCCGGGGGACUGAGGCCCAACCAUUUGGUGGUUGCCCCGUGGGCCGUGGGCCGCUCUGGCUUUCGGCGCCUCUGUUCGGAGUCUGCGGCUGCCAACGAGGCUCCGUUGAGGCCGCGGCGGUCGGCGUAGGCGGUGAAGGUGAACCGGCGGAGGCAGCGACUGCGAGCCUAAGGCGGAGCCACGCUACCAGCUCGGCGAAGGAUCGGACAGAGGGAAGAGAGAGAUGCCCAUUCUCUUCCGAUAGUGGUACGACCCUGGCGGACCCUGCUUGCCGCCGAUCUGUUCGUGAGAGAUUCGGCCCCCCAGGAUCCCGGCGGUCGAUGUCACGAGGCGAGGUACUGGUACUCUUGCUUGCAGUGCAGUAUAUACCCAUUGAAAUUCAGGUGGCUGAUCUCCACGUUAGUAGAUUGUAGGGUUUACCACUGCUGAAAACAACUCUGCACCUGGCCACCUGCUACAGCAGUUUUACGCCUCAGCUUCGGGAGUUUGGGUGUUUAUUUCUUUUUUGUCUACAGUGUAAUCAUCUAUAAACAACUUCGAUAAUAUAUGCAAGUUUAAUCGUCUUGUUCAAAAAUAUGUUGGCUUAGAGCAACCAUAUGUUAGGGUAAAGAAUACUAGUACUGCUUUUAACAAUCAACUGUACUGCACUGAAGCAAUCGGAUAAUUUUCUUCUUCUAAGCAUGCGAGCUACUGAAGGGAAGGGUAACCUCAAUGGGAAUUGGAAUGCAUCGGCUGGAAUGAAAUAUAAUCUGUAUAAGUCUAUAACUCAAGUCCUACUGUAUCAUUCACGAACUAAUCCAUAUGGUCAAAUCGGAUCCACACGAACAGUAAACCACGUGAGAUGAGAGAAGAAAUUCUCCUGUCUUUAUAAAGUUAUUAGGCAGACUUAUUACACUAUUGCAAAUUGCAAAUUACCGACAUUCACAUAACCUUCACAUGGACUGAACGUUUAGUUUUAGUUUUGCGAUGAAUAUGCCAGUGGGGUUUAAUUUUUCCUCCCAAUCAGUUAUGAAAACCAAACAUCUAACGGCCCUCUAGCACAGUGAGACUCAUAUCAUUUACAGAGAAUUCCUUGUUGUCAACUGCCUUUUCAGGUCGGUAGGAGUCCCUAAGUGCAAAAUAUGUAGGUUGAUUUGGAGUUGGAAGUGGCGUCGUUUUGUUUUCCAGCAUGGACACAACCACCGACAUGAGUGGCCUGCAACUCGGAUCGUCUUGAACACACAAGAGUCCUAUAUGGAUACAUCGUGAAACUUCAUCAGGGGAGCAAUUCUCCAUGACUGAUGAGUCCACCAGAUCUUCUAUUUUCCCUUCUUUCCACAUGUUCCAUGCCUGAAACAUGAUACAAUCUCAUAUUAGGAUCAUUGUUUUUCAUGUGGGUGGCUCGGAAUUACGAGAAUCUCCCGGUACUUACAUAUGCUCUAAGGUUAGGAAAAUCCAUGAUAAGAUGUGGUGAGCUGAUCUUUAAACCACUUAUAAUCUCCAGCAUUAAAACACCAAAACUGUAGGUGUCAGACUUGACUGAAAAGGCACCUUCCAUUGCAUAUUCAGGAGACAUGUAACCACUGUGCAAAUGAUUUCACCAAAAGGUUUGGAUGUUUGUGAAACUGCAAACUGAAUUAAUUCUAUAUGAAGAGUUGGCAAUGCAGGGGAUACUUACUAUGUCCCUACAACUCUGUUAGUAUUUGCUUGGAGCUGGUCGGCACUGAAUAUUCUAGCCAUGCCGAAAUCUGAUAUCUUUGGGCUCAUGUCCUUAUCUAGCAAGAUGUUGCUAGCUUUGAGAUCUCUAUGAAUUAUUGUUAAUCUCGAGUCAUGAUGAAGAUACAUAAUUCCUCUAGCCACCCCAUAGAUUAUCUUGAACCUUGUUUGCCACUGAAGCAUUGAUUUUCUUGCAGAAUCUAAUAAGAAUAAUAUGAAACUACGCAUAUCAGAAGACACAUGUGCAUAUAUAUAUAUAUAUAUAUUUGUUGAUUUUAUUAACUGUAUGAAAAAUUUAAAACUCAAUGUACCAAAGAGGAAGUAAUCCAAGCUUUUGUUGGGCAAGUACUCAUAAACUAACAGCUUCUCAUCUUCAUGAACACAGCAACCAAGAAGCUUAACUAGGUUCUUGUGCUGCAACUUUGCAAUCAAAACUACUUCAUUCCUGAACUCCUUGGCACCUUGCCCAGAACUCUUGCUCAGUCUCUUGAUGGCUACUUCUUUGGUUCCUUCCAACAUUCCCUAGAUGAUUUGUUCAUUCAGAAAUCAGUAUUUUUAUUUCGAGUAAUGUAAAUUUCAAGGUGAAACUUUUUACUAGUACCUUGUAUACUUUGCCAAAACCUCCUUUCCCAAGCAUAUUGCUGUCAGAGAAAUUGUCUGUUGCUGUGACAAUGUUUUCAAAUGUAAUAAAUGGGAACUCUAUAUUCUUUCCCCCAGCUUCAUCUGUAGAACUCAAGUAUUCUAGCAUCAUUCUCUUCUGGACUUUCUUCUUAUGCCAUUUGCCUGUUACAUCAACAGAUCACUUUAUUUUCAUUGAACAUUUACACAUUAACAUCGCAUUUUUAAAAACGUGGGCUCAUUUUCUAUAUACCUCUGCCUUUACAUGUCCAAACAAGAGCGGUGAUUGUUAGUAGCAGCAGACAUGCUAUAGUUGGGAGCAAAAUUUUCAGAAAAGUGCUCUUCUUCUGAUCUGUACAUAGAAAUGUAUCCUGUUAGAAUUUAUUGCAUCAAGCAUUCCUUGCAAUUAUGUGAGUUUACUUUGCACAGGGUUCCCCUGACUGGUCUGUGGAUACUUUACCUCUAAAAUAUGGACCUGUGAUUUUUUUUCAGACCUGCUAUGCACAUUUUUCAUUGAGAGGAAAGCAGCAUUACAAAUGCAUUUAAGUAAACCUACGCUUACCAAGGGGAGUUUCAUUACAGACCUGUGAGUAUUCAACGACAUAAUUACCACUUGAACAGUUACUGUGGAGAUUACUGAUUUGGCUAUUGAUAUCAUGAUGUUCAGUGAGGUUUUGCAUUUUUUUUUUAGAAAAGGAGGUUUUGCAUAAUUUGCUGCUGCCAACAUGAAAACUGAAACUGGUGGUUGAUAACUUUUUCUUCUUUUUUGGCUGCAUCUGCGAAAACAGUAUAAAGAGAUAUAGUAUGCUGUUAUCGUUUAGUUGAACUAAUCUAAGUUGUUUUGGAGAAAUCUCCAUCUUACUAGUAUCUUACAGACAGGCCUUAGAGGAGCGAUGAUGCGGCACACUGUGCACAAAUAUUACUCCUUGGAAAGAAGGAACAAGCGUACCAGGAGAUUCGCCAAGCCGGAUGUACAAGUUCUCUAAAAGACUGGCCUUCUCCAUGUCAAUAAGAUGGUGAGUCCAAACCAAACACCUUGAUGCUUCGCCCAUAAUGCCAGCAGCGCUUAGGUUGGAAUAGGCAUAUGCUAUACAGGAGCAGUUUCUGGCGCACUCUGCUGCACACUGGUCAAAGGUUCUAUUCCUAAUGUAUAAGAACUUGUCAGGAAUCUUCAUAUUAGGCAUGGUCAAGAAAUAGUUCUCUGUUCGGCAUUUUAGCUCUUCCUUUCUCUGGCAUCCUCUAGAGAAGUUGAGACUGUCGACCAGCUCAAAACCAUCAGGGCACUGGCAUGUCGGCAUUGCCUUCGUGCGAUCGCAAUAGCCGAACGGGCCACAAGAGGCGUAGAGAUCACAGCCAACACUAGGGGCCUCACCAAUGACUGCCCAGGAUGAUGUGCUAUUUUCCCAGAUCAGGAGCCUCGUCUUGCCUGUGUAGUGAAGUAAUAUUCGCAAGUAGGGUGAACCAGCUAAGACUGUGAACGUAUAGUACAACUCAUCCCCUGUGUCAACUAUCAUCGCUUGGUACGUGGCUGAGGUACUGUUGGUCUGGUAUACGCCACGGGAUACUAGGACAUCACUAACAACAGAAGAACGGAAGUAUGGCAAAGUCCCAUUCCAAAUGAACAUCUGAAGGCCUGAGGAGCCCGGAUCCAUGCUGAUAGAGAUGUCCCCGGUUGAUGGAUCGUCAGGGCCCUUCCAAGCAAAGAGGUGUGUUGCCGGUUGUGACUUGUAGCUUAGCAUAAGCCUCAUGGUUGGAAGAAUUGUAUCGGUGGGGUGAUCAAAGCUUUGCCAUAUGUCCAUGUCAUUCGGCGAUCGAAGGACAAAGUUUCCUGAGCUGAGUAAUACUGCAAAAGCUCCAGGACCUCCACUUGUGUUGCUCGUUGCCGUCCAAAAGAUGUGCCCUUGGGAGUCUGACAACACCAGCCCUGAAUUGUUUGAGAUGGCGAGCUUCGCUGAUGUAGGCGCGGUGAUUGGGCUGUCACGGUUGGCGAUCCAUACCACCGUGCGCUCUGGGAGAUUGUUGUACCAAAUUCCAAUGUAUAACUUGUUGCUUGAAUUGGUAGGAGAAAAGAAGCCAAGAGCAAAGUCUCUGCCCGCCGAGAUGAGAGUGUCUUUGGGAAAGAGCGGCUUUGUAUGUGUCAGCUGAUCGUCGGAUCGACAGAGUGAACUCAAGAAUAUGAGGAUGAAGAUGGCACUAUACAUCAUAUCUAUCAGGGCUUUUCUUGUUCUCUGGCCUAUGAAGCAGUGUGAAGAAAACAAUUUAUCAUGUAGUUGUGUCAGUGCAGAACACUGCAGAUGAAGAAUGAACCUUACAGUAAUGAUGGCAAAGUCAAACAAGGCCUAAUUCACAGACCAACAGAUAAGGACAACCAUUUCAUGGCCUAAGGGCUUUUCUUGAAAACUGGAAGUAUGGAAGCACCGGUUUUCUGUCCGUCAAAUCGAAGCGUGCAGUGGUUUCGUAUAUCACAUUGAUAAAUAGGACAAGCGUAGAUAGAAUGAUGGCAAAGUCUGCAAUAAAAAGCCUUGUUUAGGCCUGGUUUAGUUCUAAAUUAUUUUUAAGAUUCUCUGUCACAUCUAAUCUUACAGCACAUGCAUAAAAUAUUUAAAUAUAGAUUAAAAAAUAACUAAUUGUACAAUUUAUCUGUAAUUUGCGAGACAAAUCUUUUAAACCUAGUAGUUCAUGGUUGGGCAAUAAUUACUGAAUACAAACGAAAGUGCUACGGUAGCUAAAACCAAAAAAUUUUGUCAACUAAAUAAGGCCUUAGUUUUACUCAAAAUCUAAUUUUUUUUUGAGAUUUUUCGUCACAUCGAAUCUUGUGGCACAUAGCUGGAGCAUUAGAUAUAGAUAAAAAUAACUAAUUGCACAAUUUGUUUGUAAUUUGCGAGACAAAUUCUUUGAGUCUAGUCUAUGGUUAGACAAUAAUUGUCAAAUAUAAAUGAAAAUGCUAUAGUACCAAAAACUUUACACCCAAAGAACUAAAAAGGCCUAAUUCACAUACUAACAGGUAAGGAAGCGAUGACCUUACUACCCAAGCACCGGUGAGCAGACCAGACAAGCAGCGGUGUGGACGUGUAGUGGACAGUGGUGACUGCAAUGGUCUCCGACGACUUCGCCGUAGUCGGCCUCACACCCUGGCACCACUGGUAGAUUUCGUGUUUCUGGAGUCAGCAAACGUGGUCUGGGAUGUAAGAAACGGUGGCUUCUUUUCUUGGAUGAUCCCAAGUCCAAUAUGUGCACGGGAGGAGCCAACUGCCGUCUGCAGCGGGUUGGACGUGCUUGAGUGGUCGGCAGUCGCACCUUAGACUUGUUUAGUUACACCUAAAAUUUAAAAAUCUUUUAAAAUUUCUCAUCACAUCAAAAUUUACAGCAUAUACAUGGAGCACUAAAUAUAAAUAAAAUAAAUAACUAAUUGUAUAGUUUGUCUGUAAUUUACGAGACAAUUUUUUUAAGUCUAGUUAGUUUAUUUAUAAUUAGACAAUAAUUACCAAAUACAAAUGAAAGUACUACAGUAGACAAAAAAAAAACUUUUCAUGAGGGGAACUAAACAUCGAUUGCAAAUCUCUGAUCAAAUUUAAGGAACGUGUACUUGUUGUGUAGGUGUAUAGAUUUUUUUUAUUUUUCCCAUGAAGAUUUAAUCAUAAUCACUGCUUUUUUAGUUUUGGUGUGGAUGUCCUCGCACUCCCUACUCUACGUAGCUCCAACCCUGGCAUUUUUCGGCAUGUGGAUGCCAACUGAGGAACCCUACUAACCAGUGGUUGGCUACUAGUCCUGGAGGGGUCCAUGAAAACUUUGAAUUGUUUCAUGUCUUCGAAAAGUAUCCCAUGAUUUUUAGAGUCAAACGGCUUAUUUACGAAGAUACUUAAUAAAGGGUGUGUUUGUUUCCAAUUAAAAUUAGAGUUUAUCAGGAUUAAAAUAAUUCAAAAUCCCACCCGAACGCCUAGAUUCUUCUCUGAUUAUUUUAGCCACAGUGGUGAAAGUAAGUGAGCUUUAAACUACACAAUGCAACCUUUAUACCGCGAGGGAGGUCUUCUACCGUGGGCCAUUUUUGUCUGUUGCCCCACCAGUCAUCUCCCCUCUAUCAGCCUCCUCCACCUGCUCCUCCCCUCCGCUGUCUCACUCCCCUGUGCAAGGAAGGAGCUCCAUGGCUUGCCCCAUACCUCGCUCCCUUGCUUUCCCCUAUCCUCCCCUGCUCGCUCCCCUCGGCCACCCCCCUACGUGCAUGGUGAUAGCAUGGUCGAGAAGGAACAGGAAGGAGCUAGCUACACACCUUGUGUCCCCAACGAUGGUGGCAAGGCCAACGAAGGAUGUGGUGGUGAAGGGAAACUCGGCGCGUUAGGCGACGAUGGUGGCUAUGGGCCAAGUAGGGACGGAUGUUGGCCACUACAGGAGGCGCUAUUGAUGGUGGCAGUGGUGAUGGAUGGGUCAACGAUAGAGGCGAUAGGGUGAAAAGGGCAAGGCGCGAUUUAGAAAAUGCUCUCGGCCUAAGGGCAUAUAAGUCAUUUUACUCUUAGGAUUGGUACAAUAAUCAAGAUUGCCAAACAACACAAAUCUUGGGGUUGAUUCUUUUGGUGCGUAGCUUAUUAAAAAUCAUGGUUCUAACUAAAAUUGAUUCUUAGAAAAGCAACCAAACAUGGCCAAAAUACCACCUCUAAAAAUCCAUUAAUAGAGAUGGACAUCUUAGAGGCUAGCCUUUGCAAAUGUGGGUCAACCUCAGAGAGGCCAACUUGUCUCGGUCCACUACCAACCUACAUUAUAUAAUAGACAAACCCCUAGCCACGAUUGGGCUCCCUCCCUACCCCACACAACCUCUUCUCUCAUUCGUGCCACACACUUCUCUCUUCCCCUUCAUCUCCUCCACAUCAUGGGUUCUCUUCCCACUACCGCCUCUUCCACCUUCCCACCACCAUCCGUAGAUCGAGUAGGAGGCGUGGCACAUCUGGCGGCAUGGAUCCACCCCUUUCUUGCUACAAUGUGCUACCUUGGCACUCCAUAUGGCCUGUGGGUGACUCAACAUUCUUUUUCUAGCAACAGCGCACACGUGCUUGUCCCCUCCUGAUGGCAGAUGUGAGGAUUUCCAUGUUAUGGCGUGAACUUCCUAGUUAAAUAACUCUUGAUGGUUGGAUUAUGGCGUCAACUUCUGCAACUUGUUCCUGCGGUUUAGUUGCGUUAGUGGAGAUUGUGGAUGGUGACUCCGGGGACCUUUUUGUGACCCUCAAGUUAGUACUACGUUGGUUGAGAGGACCACAUGUAGCACUAGCUGGGUGGCCAAGGUAAAGUCCUCGCAACUUUCUUCAGUAGAUCACUAGAGUAUGGAGUUUUUGCUUGAUCAGAGGCAAUCCACUAUACCACAACAUCAAUGGGCUAGUAAGCUAAUCACCUUUGAUUUUGCAGUUUAAUACAAGUUAGGGUAUGCAAACACUGCUGCAGAUGCACUAUCAUGAAGAGAUACAAAGGUUAACCCAACGGGCUAAGUCAAAAUUGUAGAUCAGAGCAGCGUGGAGGCUUCAAUGGUUCAUAUAGAUAUGAUGCAAUUGGAGUUUUCUUUUUGUACCGUGUCAUUAUGUAAUAGAAAUUGUAAUAAGGUGGCCGACUAUUUUGCCAUCCAUGGAGCUUAUGUUUUACAUGUUGGCCCACAUGUUUUCAUGAGCGAAGCACCAUCAUAUGGAAUGGAUUUUGUACAGUGGCGAAUCCAGAAAACAGACCAUGAGGGGUCUAAAAUCUUACUAGCCAUGUACAAAAAGGGCCCUCCUAUAUUGCAAAUUGUUGUGCGAUUGUUACAUAUUAGGAACUGAUAGUGGCAUUCCCUGUAUAUUUGAAAAUCAAAAUUUAACAACUAUAUAUGUGGUACUAUUCAAUAUUCUGUUCUCACCUUGAGCUCUGACUGUGAGCUGUACUGUAUGUAUUACGCCUCAAAACUUACUGCAAAGACUCACUUUUUUCCAUGGCAAAUCAAACCAAAUGGGACAACACCUUUAAGUGGCAUCGAUUCAACCUGAAAAGGAUACUCUGUGCUGGACCUGGCUAUAGAAAAAUAGAACAGAAUGAGGCCGUGACCCUCUUUCCUCGGGCUAAUGGGCUAGACAUGAAGACUUGUUCCCAAGAUUUCUGGCCGACGAACGGGGAUGCAGCCCUAGCCACUCGCGUGGAUCUGUCCAUGAUUUUGUAUCUGACAACCUUAGCAUAGAUCUUAGUGCAUGUGAUGAGUUUCCAUAAAAAAUUGGCUUGAACCUUAAUGGUCGUCAUUGGAGUGGAGGUUAUCGGAGUUUAGCAGAUUGGUGGUGGUGUUAGUUGGUGAACGAUGACGUGCUUGUAUCAUGGGAGUUCUUUGCUCCCCUUCUGUGUUUUGUUGUUGUCCUCUUCUAAUAGGAAGGUGCGUAGACCAUGUUCAAUCACUGGGGCAAUAUCAGAACAAAAUUUGCACGACAAAGGAGACCCAACGGUACGGUGGCACAGCUGAACAGUUUGACAAGACGUCCUUGUACCAUUAUGCCAGCGAAGAAGCUGGCCUUAGCUUUGUUUAAACAAUAAGUAUACAGUUCCAUUUCCGUGCAAUAAGUGUCCUAAAUACGAAUGACCUCCAACUCUUGUCCUAAUGUAUAAACAAUUGUAACCUACUAACCACUUACCGUCCCUCCAACACUGAGAUACUAACGUCAUUCAUGGAGCUAUUUGCAUUUUCUCUUGUUCCUUGGGCUUCUAAAUACCAUUGGGAGAAGUACAUGGGCUGCUUUGGGACAGAACCUAACGUGGUUUCGUUCUCCAAUAUGAACACAACCGAUGACAUAAGUGGCCUACUAUUUGGAUUGUCUUGCACACACAAGAGUCCUAUGUGGAUACAUCGCAAAGCUUCAACUGGUGAACAAGUCUCAACAAUUGAUGAGUCCACAAGAUCAAUUGCCUUACCAUCUUUCCAUAAGCUCCAUGCCUGAACCAAUUCAACCAAGUUCAUAGCUAGGAUAUCAACAUUUUUUUACGGAAGAUGUUAGCACAUUUUUAUCGAACUGUGAAAAUUUCAAGAAUAACACAAUACUCACAUAUGCUAAUAAGCUAGGGAAGCUAGUGAACUGAGUCGAAGUGAUCUUUAAACCACUUAUAAUCUCCAAGAGUAUGACGCCGAAGCUAUAUGUAUCUGAUUUGACCGAAAAGGCGCCAUCCAUUGCAUAUUCAGGAGACAUGUAACCACUACAUAAAAAGUUACCACUAAGUAUAAGGAAAUUAAAAGAAGGGGAAAAAAAUCAUAUCAAGCAUGAUGCAUGGAUUACUCACUAUGUCCCAACAACUCGAAUAGUAUUUGCUUCUUGUUGGUUUCCGCCAAAUAUUCUUGCCAUUCCAAAAUCCGAUAUUUUUGGGCUCAUAUCUGCAUCCAAGAGUAUGUUGCUUGUUUUGAUAUCUCUAUGAAUUAUAGUCAACCUUGAAUCCUGUUGGAGAUAAAGAAGUCCUCUAGAAAUUCCUUUGAUUAUCUUGAAUCUUGUUGGCCAAUCGAGGGCUCUUUUACUUGUAGGAUCUAUGUGUAAAGUAGUACUAUAUAAGUACGCAGACAAAUUUUACAUGGUAACUAUAGCAAACAAUUAUUUAUUUCUCGAAAAUAUGAGAUUAACUACCAAAAAUGAAGCAAUCUAAGCUUUUGUUUGGUAAAUACUCGUAAAUCAGCAGCCUCUCAUCUCCAUGAAUGCAGCAACCAAGAAGUCUGACGAGGUUUCUGUGUUGCAAUUUGGCAAUUAGAACAACUUCAUUUCUGAAUUCCUCUGCCCCCUGUCUAGAACCCUUACCAAGUCUUUUGAUUGCAACUUCUCUAUUAUUGGGCAGCAUACCCUGCAUGAUUUCCUCAUUCACGAAAUGACAAAAGUCUCGUACAACACUUGUGUAGGAAUUUCACUGUAGUUACCUUAUACACCUUCCCGAAGCCUCCUCGUCCAAGCAUGUUACCCUCAGAAAAGUUGUUUGUUGCAGAGAUAAUAUCUCUAAAGCUAAAAGAUGGAAUCUCAAGAUCUUCUUCAUCGCCAAGUUCAUUUGACGUGCUCUCGGUACUUGGCAUUACUUUCUUCCCGUUACCAUUAUUUUGACGUGGGCCUUGCAAUAAAAUCGUAUUAGCGUAGUCUGAUAAUAUAUGCACUCUAAAUCUCUAAUAAAAAAAUAUUCUUCAAAAAAAAAAUCUCUAAUAAAAAAAGUUAACUAGGAGAGAGAGAGACCUCCACUUCACUAGCCAAUUAAUCGUGAGUAGUAAAGUGUCUGUACCUCUAAGCUUGCAUAUCCAAAUAAGGUACAUGCCGACAGCCAUGGCUGCUAGCAGAGAUGCGGUGACCGGAAGCACGAUCUUUGCCACACCCCUCCUGUUCCUUUCAGCUGCACAGAAAUUUGUUGAAAAACAGAUGAUGAAACUCUUUUCAUGACAAGGACUUCCUUUUUAAGAGAGGUGAACAGGUUUACUGCUGAUAUAGGAAGAGGUGGAGCCACAAACUUUUAGCAAGCUAGAAGGUUUUUAUUGUGUUGCACCUUUUCUAGGAUUUUUCUAGAAAUUUUAUGGUACACGCUUCUACGCUUUCGGUGAUACUACACGUUUCCACGCACCCAGAGGGUGUGUGCAUGUAUUGUGUGAAUGUGGAGUGCGUGGUUUGCUUGUGUUCUGAGUUGUUACCGAUGAAAAAGAAUAUUUACCUAGAAAAAAAUAAGAUUUAAUAAAAUCGAAAUUGGUGCUUACCUAUAUCAAAUUCAGACCUGGCCAACUUCAGGUAGAGACGAUCACGAUCCUGCCCCUUGUCUACGUACCGAAUGUCAACAAUGUAAUUCGUCCACAUGAUGCAGCCACUACCAUCACCGCCUCCUCGGAUGUCGGCGGCGGCGUAGGCGACGCAUUCGCAGUUGGCGAGGCACCUUGCCCUGCACUGCUCCAUCGUCGCGCCCGUGUCCACCGUCGCGUUGUCCGUGUCAGGGAGCUUCACUCCCCGCACCACCAUAAACCCGUCCGUCGUCGUCCCGUUGCCGUGGCAUUCCAGCGGCACAUUCCUCUGGCACCCGCUUCCGUAUUGACCCAAGGACCACUGCGAGGGGUUGACGGGGCUGAACCCGACGACGCAGCUGCAGAACCUCGUGGACGCCGUGUUCACGUUGCACAGGCCGAACGCGCCGCACUUGGCGUAGUUGUCGCAGAUGUCCUUGGGCGCCUGCACCAAGAUGUUCCACAGCAGGUUUGCCGGAUCCCACGCCAGGUGCUGCACCACGCCGACCUCGUUCAGCACGAGGCGGGAGAAGGGCGCGUCGGUCCUGGCGUCGAAGUGGUAUGCGAUCUCGUCGGCGCGGACGACGACCUCGUUGGGGUACGGAUCCGUGUUCGACACCCUCGCCACCUCCGGGAGGCCGCUGAACCAUAGGCCGUUCCAGGGGCCCGUUUGGUACUUCUUGGCGUUUCCUUGCCACGAGACGAUGCCCGGGAGCCCCCUGGUGUCCAUCGCAGUCCUGCAGUCCCCGGUGGUCGGGUCGUUCGAUGCACGCCACGACGUGAGGGACCAUUCCGCGCCAGUCUGCGGGUUCUUGCCGAUUCUCAUGCCGGCGAGCAAGGUGUUCGACGGGUGAUCGAACGACUGCCAGAGCACGUCACCGCUGCUCUGCUCGCGCACCACAAGGUUGCCGGAGUCGAGCAGCUGCGCCACGGAUGGACCGGGACUGCUCGUCGUCGUGGUGUUGGAAUUGGAAGACCACGCGGUGUGGCCGCCAGAGCCAUCGAGAAGGCGAAGGCUCCCGGUGCUGCCGACCACCAGUACACCCGAGGUGUUGUUGAGGGGGCUGUCGCGGUUGGCCACCCAACAGACGGCAUCCGGGGACGCGGUGAACCAGAUGCCAAGGUAUCUCUUGGCUGGAACGCCGGUAGGGGAGAAGAAGCCCAGGGUGAAGGUGCUGCCGGAUGAGACCAACGUCUCGCCAUCGGUGAUGUUGCUGCUGCUGCUGAGUGUGUCAGAUGCAGUGCCAGCGGCCGAGGCUCUGAACGAAAGCAAGAACACGGGGAGGAAUAUCAGGGUAACAGGGUACGACGGAAGUCUUGGCAUUCUCGUCGCCGGUACUAGAGAUGAUGUUUGUUGCAGUAGCUCAAGAAAAUUCAUGGUACCCAUACUGAUAUAUGUGAAUCACGUUGGUGCCCGCUUAGUUUUUUAGUUGCAUAUUUAAUUUAGCACCAAUCACAUUCCGUGGUCAAUCACGGCAUGUUGAAUCUUUCUUAACUAGCUUAUUGUCUAAUUUCUUAAGAAUCUAGUGGUUGAAAGCAACGAACUUAUUUAAAGUCGACGGAUGGCUGACCUGUUAUUACAAACAAAAGAUAAACAUGUUAGCUGGCAUAGGAAGUCCUCUAGAUGGUUCUCUAGUUUGUUGUCAACUUUUCAUAGGAUAUCUCUUGUAAUAAUUAGAUGAAAACUUAGAGCAACUUGAAGAGACUCUUAAUAUUCUUUCUAAUUUAUAAGAAUCCUGUGUGACAAAACUAAUCGUGAUCUCUUCAACACACCAAUGAUAGUCACCAUAGGUAAUGGAAAAACAGCCCUUUUAUGGUUAUCAACUUGGAUCAAUGGAACCAUGGCAAAAACAAUCAGUGGCGUAGCUAGGGGUGGUUCGUGUGGGCCUGGCCCCCAGAGACCAACAUAGAAUUUCGAGCAAAGUAUUAUACGUUGGUAUUUAGAUAGUAAGAUAUUUUAAAUAGUCUUUAGAGUUUAUUACUUAUUUAAAAAAUGUUUGUAAGACUUUUUAAAUAUAAGAUAUUUUAAAUAGUCUUCUGAGUUUAUUACUUAUUUAAAAAUGUUUGUAAGACUUUUUAAAUAUAUUUUUCUUAUGUUUCCGUAAAUUAUGUAUUUGCAUAAUGACAUACUAUAUUUAGCCUUUGUUUGGUAGAGGUCCAAUCGGCUUCGGUUUUGACUCCUUCAAAUGGUCCACCAAAAAAUGAGCACACAUUAAAGGUACAAGUGCUUUGACUUUUUCUCAUGAGUUCGAUCUUAGAUCUACGAAAUGUGAGUGGACUUGGAUAUUUUUUAGUUCAACUUGCAGAAAUUAAAGACCAGUCUAAUUGUCAUCAAAGAUGCACAUAAAUCUGAGGGGUUUGUUCGAUCAUCGGACUAAAGUUUAGUCCAUCAUCAGAUAAUAGGCUAAACAUGAAUUAACUAUUUUUUUUCUAAUAAGUUAUACUCAACCAAUUGACCGUAUACCAGACUUCUCCCAAGUGCUAUCUCUGGGCAACUCAGGGGCGAUCGUCGCGUCGCCCCUAGGGGCCCCCCUCCCUGCAGUGGCCUGUUAAAUGGAGCCUGCCAUGUCCUCUUCCCUCCCCUAGUCCUCCAUCGCCCAACUUCCCCGGCGCUUCUCCGAAGAGUUCGCUAGCCAGUGGCCCGGAUCUGUGUCCCUCUGGACUAGAUCUACCCUUCUCCUUGUCGAUGCUACGGCGUGGGUCGAGCGGUCGGCCUCGGAUGGUGUCUUCUCCGGUGAAUGGGCCAAGCGGCGGAUCUAGAUUCCUCGUGUGCGGAUCUGGCGGCUAUUGCUCUAGAUCCAACGCCUGUUGCUGCCGUCUAGCGCUGCAGGGUGCUCAGCUUAGGUGUCGACACCUCUUAUCCCGCCCUGGGCCCCGCUAAACCUGGUUGGGCCGUGGCUAGCUUCUUCCUGCUCGUUGGUGUCUUGACAGGCAUCCUCGUUUGCGAAUCUGACUUGGACCAUGGCUAGGCGAGAGCCAACAAUUGGUCUAGCUGGUCGGUUGCCCGGCCAGGAUGCCUUGCCCUGGUUGUCAUGGCGGUGGUGCUAGUCGUCCUCUCGGAUGGCCGGUCGGCGGUGGGACUCAUGGAUGGGGCCAGAGCGCGUGCAAAUAGCUGCAUCUACACCCCCUUGGUGUUCUAGGUGGAAGCUUAGCUCGGUUGUGGCUGGGCAGACGACGAUGACACAUCAGGCGCCACAUACCUCCUUGGUGGUGUCAUUAUUGAACCCAUACCUCUGCCCAGACUUGGCUGGAUUCUAGGUGUAAGCCUUGCCUUAGACCUCUAAGGCCAGCGGCAACGGCAUCCACGGUGGUUGCCUGGGCGUCAUCCCCUUCGUGAAGGUGCCGUUGAAGAAUCACUAAUGGCUAUUCUCUUGUUCUCCGUGCCAUUGUCGACAUUCAUGCGGCGAGCUCCUGGAGAAGUUCCUAACUGUGCCUAUAUGCGUCAAUGUUCCACUGCAUUGGUUGUCCUACUGCAUGUGACCUCAUCGGUGUCGUUACUAGCGAAUGUUUUGCCUCUACCACUUUCUUCUUCAAUGCAUGCUUUGCCGUUGUUGCUGAUGGCCUCCUCUUUGGCAGAUGCUUUGCUGUUGAGGAGGGGCGAAGGUACACUGUUAGUAGGAGGUGCAAAUGCACCACCCCAAAUUUUAAAAAACAAUAGUUUGGGUUUAAAUUUCACCAUAUAUGCACCAUCUCUUAUACAAGUAUAUGCACCCACAAGGUAAGUGCACCACCCUUCAAUUUACUCUAGCUUCGCCAUUGUUGUUGAGAGUGUCAUGGUUGCCCAUCACUGCAGAUGCUUUGCUAUAAGGGGUGUCUUGUUCUCUGACGGAUGCUUGGCUGUCUGUGAAUCCUUGGUGGAUGCUUUGCCGCCAUUGUCUCUUUAGCCUCCUCUCUGGUAGAUGUUUUGCUGCCGAGAGUGUGCUGGUCCGCUGCUCGGUGGAUGCUUUGCCACCAUGGUCAUUCGGUUCGUUGGCGGAUGUUUUGCCGCCGUUGUUGCUGGUUGCUCCUUCUCUGGGUGGAUGUUUUGCCAACAUGGUUUGCUCUGUUGCAUAGGAAAUCUUUGUGUUGUUCUUCUUUUGCAGGCACAGUUGUUGGUUUGGUCUCCACAUGAAUUAUUCUAAUUAAUUACAUAAAAGCAUAGACCUAAAGCUUAAAAAAAAUUUAUACUAAAGCAUACCAUAUUAUAUAUAUACUGUGUAUAUUUACUCAUGUGGAGUCCAAUAAAUUUGGAUUUUUUUAUUUUAUGAUUUUUCUGUGAUUUACUAUGAUUUUUUAAAGAUUCAGUGGAAAUAGAUAAAAAAAGAAAAAAAAAAUACAAAACCACCGUCCAAACCCGCUUGAGAGAGUUAUUUGACUGGUUUGAAAAGUUCAGGGGUUAGAAAAUCCGGUUUUAUAGUUCGGGGCCUGAAGUAGUCCCAUGUAUAGUUGAGGGGUCACAUAGACUUUUUCCAGCUUGGAUUGGGGGCUUUGGGCCUUAUUUAGUUCCGAAAACUGAAAAGUUUUCGGAACUGUAGCACUUUCGUUUUUAUUUGACAAAUAUUAUCUAAUUAUGGAGCAACUAGGCUUAAAAGAUUUAUCUCGUGAUUUACAGGUAAACUGUGCAAUUAGUUUUUAUUUUUAUCUAUAUUUAAUACUCCAUGCAUGUGCCGCAAGAUUUGAUGUGACAGAGAAUCUUAAAAAGUUUUUAGUUUUUGGGGUGAACUAAACAAGGCCUUGGUUAUUCAUGGUGCAGCAACAACUUGAGGUUGACAGCAGCUUCAGGAGAGCGGUGUCAGUAGCGUGUACAUCUUGGCUGGUUUGUUCUUUUAGUUCUCACUUUGGUGGCUGGUUUGUUCUUUUAGUUCUCACUUUGGUUCAAAGCAACUCAGCUUGGAUUCAUUCUGUUCGAUAUUGUCUGUGGACAAUCACUGUGUUCGGUCUGAAACUGCAGUUCAGUUUGAACUGUCACUCAAGUUCUCUUGUCCACUGAUUUUGAAAUUGCAGCCUGUUCAGUUUGAACUGUCACUCAAGUUCUCUUGUCCACUGAUUUUGAAACUGCAGCCUGUUCAGUUUUCUUGUCUGAACUGUUGCUCGAAUUUUCUAGUCACGCGUCAUGUUUAGUUCUGAGCAAUAGCAGCCUACUAUUGUCAGGUCAACAACAGUUUGUUCUGCUCAACUGAAGUAGUAGCUAGUGUUUUUUUUUUUGUGAUCUCAACUCUUGGAUAGCUUUGUGUUCUUUUGCGACUGUGUUUGUGCUUCGAUUAUCAUCUGCUCAGUGUAACUUCAGACUGACAACAGCAGCGGCUCGUGUCCAUCUCCUCUGCCUCAGGUAAGCAGCAGCAUUAUCAGUUGUCACAUAAGUGAUAGACUAAGGCCUUGUUUAGUUCGCAAAAAUUUUUAAAAUUUUCCGUCACAUCGAAUCUUUAGUCGCAUGAAUGGAGCAUUAAAUAUAGACGAAAAUAAAAACUAACUGCACAGUUUACCUGUAAUUUGUGAGAUGAAUCUUUUAAGUCUAGUUACUCCGUGAUUGGACAAUAUUUGUCAAAUAAAAACGAAAUGCUACAGUAGCCAAAAACAAAAAUUUUUGCGAACUAAACAAGACCUAAUCUACGAAAGGUUUCAUGUACUGUUAACUAGUACCAAUUGUAUUAUCCACUGUGUACUGAUGGGAUUCUUGAAUGGAAUAUGGCAACUCAUGGGAAAUUUUUGACAUCCAAAAUGUUAGAUCUGUACCUGCUGAAUUAAUCAGGUUAACAUUGAUCUACGUCGUCAUAUAUAUAUAUCACAGUAUACCAUGAAAUUUCUGCAACAAACCUCAUCAGUCAUCGCUAGGAGCGACUGGAAUGACAAGACUUUUGUGCCUUACUGCCCUGAUCUUCCCCAUUAUGCUCUGCCUCACAACAUCCGCCGCCGGUGCCGCGUCUGACACACUCGACAGCGGCAGCAACAUCACCGACGGUGCAACGCUGGUCUCGGCCGGCGGGUCCUUCACCCUUGGUUUCUUCUCCCCGACCGGGGCGCCAACCAAGAGAUACCUCGGGAUCUGGUUCACCGCCUCACCGGCCGAGGCCAUCUGUUGGGUGGCCAACCGUGAAAAGUUCCUCAGCAACACCUCAGGAGUUGGAGUACUGACCAUCGGCAGCACCGGGAGCCUUCGCCUUGUCGAUGGCUCUGGCCGCACCGCGUGGUCUUCCACCGCGACGAGUUCUUCUGCUCCGCCUGUCGUGGCGCAGGCGCAGCUGCUUGAGUCUGGCAACCUAGUGGUGCGCGACCAGAGCGGCGGCGACGUGCUUUGGCAGUCAUUCGACCACCCGUCGAACACCUUGCUCGCCGGCAUGAGAUUCGGUAAGAACCCACAGACUGGCGCCGAGUGGUUCCUCACGUCGUGGCGUGCGUCGAACGACCCGACGCCGGGUGGCUACCGUCGUGUGCUGGACACCAAGGGACUCCUGGACUCCGUCUCGUGGCAAGGCAACGCCAAGAAGUACCGGACGGGCCCCUGGAACGGGCUGUGGUUCAGUGGCAUCCCGGAGACGGCGUCGUACAAGGAGAUGUACUCCGUCCAGGUCGUCGUCCGCCCCGACGAGAUUGCAUACACCUUCAACGCCGCCGCCGGCGCGCCCUUCUGCCGCCUCGUACUGAAUGAGGUCGGCAUGGUGCAGCAGCUUGGUUGGGACCCUGUCAGCCGGGUGUGGAACGUCUUCACGCAGGCGCCGAGGGACGUCUGCGACGACUACGCCAAGUGCGGCGCGUUCGGCCUGUGCAACGUGAACACGGCGUCCACGCUGUUCUGCAGCUGCGUCGUCGGGUUCAGCCCCGUGAACCCCUCGCAGUGGUCCAUGAGGGAGUCCGGUGGCGGGUGCCGGCGGAACGUGCCGCUGGAGUGCGGCAACGGGACGACGACGGACGGGUUCAGGGUGGUGCGGGCAGUGAAGCUCCCCGACACUGACAACACGACGGUGGACAUGGGCGCGACGCUGGAGCAGUGCAGGGCGAGGUGCCUCGCCAACUGCUCGUGCGUGGCCUAUGCAGCCGCUGACAUCCGAGGAGGGGGUGAUGGCAGUGGCUGCGUCAUGUGGACGGAUGCAAUCGUGGAUGUUCGUUACGUAGAUAAAGGGCAGGAUAUCUACCUGAGGUUGGCGAAGUCUGAAUUAGGUAAGCACAGUUACAUCUCCCAGUGUGAAUCAUGAGCAAGUUUCAUCAUCUAUAUAUUCCCAUGGUGCAACAUGUAUAUUUCUGCAGUUGAGAAGAAGAGGAAUAUGGUGAUAAUAAUCUUGCCACCAGUUACGGCAUGUGUGCUUACGCUCAUGGGGAUAUUCAUUGUUUGGAUAUGGCACAAGCGCAAGCUUAGAGGUAGAACCAGAGUCACUUCACUACUUGGAAUUCAAUGAUGAUUCGUACUGAACAACAACAUUAAUAUUUCUGUUAGGAAAACGUCGAAACUUGGAUAGCCAGAAGAAGAUGAUGGUAGGACAGCUGGAUGAGUCAAAUACACUUGGUGAUGAAGAUCUCGACCUACCGUUUUUUAGCUUUGGAGAUAUUGUUUCUGCAACAAAUAAUUUUGCUGAAGACAAUAUGCUCGGGCAAGGAGGCUUCGGGAAAGUUUAUAAGGUAAUAAAAGUAAAUAUUUUAAACCAUGGCAGACAGCAUGGAAAUUAUAAGAUUUCUUGUUUAAUUUAAUGAUGGUGAAAUGAAAACAUGCAGGGUAUUCUAGGCGAAAAUAGAGAGGUUGCAAUCAAAAGGCUCAGUCAGGGCUCUGGACAGGGCAUAGAGGAAUUCAGAAAUGAAGUAGUUCUAAUUGCGAAAUUGCAGCACAGAAACCUUGUUAGGCUCCUUGGUUGCUGCAUUCAUGGAGAUGAGAAGUUGCUAAUUUACGAAUAUUUACCAAACAAAAGCUUGGAUUCCUUCAUUUUCGGUAUGUAUAAACUAGUUGUAUUUUAUACAGGAAAAAAAGAAGAAGAUAGUCAUAGUUAUUACUCUGGUUUGCUUGCUUACUUUACUUAUAAUACAAUUGUAUAUAGAUGCUGCAAAGAAAAAAGUUCUCGAUUGGCCAACAAGGUUCAGGAUAAUCAAAGGAAUAUCAAGGGGAGUUCUUUAUCUGCACGAGGAUUCAAGAUUGACAAUUGUGCACCGAGAUCUCAAAACAAGCAACAUAUUGUUGGAUGCAGAUAUGAACCCUAAGAUAUCAGAUUUUGGUAUGGCAAGAAUCUUUGGAGGGAACCAACAAGAAGCAAAUACUAACAAAGUUGUUGGGACAUAGUAAGUAAUCAUCCAUGCCUCUAUGUUUAACAUUAAUUCUCGUUUUCCUAUACCUAUCAAUUUUUUUUUACAUGCAUACUACUAAUUAUUUUUAAGCAGUGGUUACAUGUCUCCUGAAUAUGCAAUGGAUGGAGCUUUUUCUGUCAUGUCUGAUACAUAUAGCCUUGGGGUUAUACUGUUGGAGAUCAUAAGUGGUCUAAAGUCGUUUCAAAAAAUAAGUGGUCUGAAGAUCACUUCGACUCACUCCACGAGCUUCCGUAACCUAGUAGCUUAUGUAAGUAUAAUGGUGUUCUUCAAAUUUUACAAUUCAAACAAAACAAGCUGAUAUUCUACAAAUUUUCUUGGAUUGGUUUAGGCAUGGAGCUUAUGGAAUGAUGGCAAGGCAAUGGAUUUGGUGGACCCAUCCCUUAUCGAGAGUUGUUUACCAAAUGAAGCCUUGAGGUGCAUCCACAUAGGACUCUUGUGUGUCCAAGACAAUCCAAAUAGUAGGCCCCUUAUGUCAACGGUUGUGUUCAUGUUGGAGAACGAAGCCGAGUUACCUUCAACCCCAAAACAGCCCCUGUACAUCUCGCAAUGGUAUGAAGCCCAAGGGACAGGAGAGAACACAAACAGUUCCAUGAUGAAUAACAUAAGUGUCUCGGUGUUGGAGGGACGGUAACGUUAAGUGAUUAGGUUGCAUUUGUUUAAUUGGAAUCAAAUUCCAUCGUUGUGAUGAUAAGGAAAGAACGCAUCAUCUUUGCUUGCCGCACAUUGGGAGUCCACCAGGACAAUGAUUUUUUUCGUCUCACAUGGGUGGCCUUAUAUAUGUGAUAUGUCUUUAGGCUUACAAACUAAGUUUAUUUGACGUGUGAUAUAUACUCUUUUGUUUUAAGCUUUUGUGUGUUGUGUGUAAUAAUUUUGUUCCGAUUCCUCAAUUGUGAGGAUGAUGCCGGAUGUUCUAAAAAAAAUUACUAAUAUUGGGACAAGAGUUGGAGUGCAACUAGUAGUAGGUUAUUCCCUUAGUCUCUAAGUAAAUCAAUUUCUAGUGUUGUUGUGAGUCAGAUUGUUUUUAGAUUUGUUCGAAUUCAUAGAAAAAAUCACCAAGAUUUAUGGUACCAAUGAAAAUAAUUGUAAGACUACUUGAAAUCUAUUUUCGUAAUGUGUUCAUUUGGUCUCAUAAUUCAUAAAUAUGGCACAAGACGACGUACACCUUGUGAAACUGCUCUCUGCUCUGCCACCGGCACCGGAGCGGUCUUGUUUGCCGUGCGAACCUGCGUUGUUUCCGGUGAUUUGUGUGCAGGCUGCCAUGGUGAACGCACGAGCGUUUUGUACCCGACGCGGCGACACACUGUCGCACUGGUUUUGCAUUGUCUGACCGUGAUCGAGUAAUCGAGACGAAUGCUCGAAGCCAUGAAACUUGUUGUCGGCGCCGUCGACGGAACGGGCCGGGUUGGCUAUUGGCACGAUGGCCGCCGGGCGCGAGCUGCUUCCAACGUCGGCCUCUCUGCUUGGGCCUUCUCUGUCUCUCCGUUGUUCUGGGACUGGCCUCUCUGUUGACGUUGGUCGAGUGGUCCGUAUAUAUGAUGAUGAUUUCCUCUGGGCAGCUGGGCUAGGCCGAAAACACUCGGAGGUCCGAACACGGAAGCCCAGCUAAGUGGCGGUCUGCCAGAGUCGACCCGCAGCCGUGCCUGCUGCCUCCAGCUCGAAGAGGUCCGAGCCCAACAAACGCGAUUUUUUUUAAAAAAAAAAGCUCACAUCAUCAUCAAUCAUCAUCAUCAUCAUCAUCAUCAUCGUUGUAUUGGUACGAGUACAGUCUUACUAGCUACUCCCUAGGAAGAUUGCAACAGUGAUGCAUGAUCAUGGGUUGCAAUCUACUUAAUUUGUAUGCGCUUUGGUAGAGACCAAUUAAGCGCCCAGUUUUAGCUGAUCAUCGUCCUUACAACACGGUAAUAACUUCGUCCUAGGAAAAAAAAAAAACUCCCAGCUCAAUAUAUCACGUUCGCUUCAGGCCUUUCUCCGACCGUGAAACGUACUGCUCUCAGCAGACAGCGCAUUGAAGGUUGGAAGAUGGAACAUUAACAAGUUGGAAAGCGACGGCCGACGACGGGCCAAAACAUCGACGAUCUGGUCCAAAGAAAUGGAGACCUGUUGGACUUGGACAGUUGGACGGCCUCAGAUGUAUCGAUGCUAGUUUAUUGCGAGAGAAAAACAAUGUAAUAUAGUGCUGGUUCUGACCGAAAAGAUCAAUAGAACAAGACUCAUCGCUGGAUGGAUGCCGUCCUUGGACCACGGCGAUAGGGAGUGUCGUGUAUGCUGUGUUCACAAGCAAGCUCACAGCACGUAUUACAUUACAUAUACAGCAGAUUGUUGCUCUAGGCCUAGGCGGCACCAGACGACUCGGUGGCUCUCGCGGCCGCGUCAUCGUUGACGUACGACCGCACGGUCACGGCCGGGAGCCGGGCGGCGCGCGCGCGGAUGGUAAGGUAUGCUCCACGCACCGUGAAUCGGUGAGCCAAUGCGCACAACUGAUCGAGCCACAGGGCUCCGGAUCCGGCGGAGUGCGGUACACGCGCGCGGAACUAUAUAUGUGCUGUAUAUAUGUAUCUGAUGAGGAGUCGCAAAUUAAAGGGAGGAGGACUUGAAAGGUGCGUGAUGCGUCAGCGCGUGCGUCAGCGCGUGCCUUGUUUGAGAGCUUCUUCCGAUCCACAGGGAAGGGACCGUCACGUCGUCACCCGGCCCAUGUACCAUCACAUCAUGCAUGGCAACUUGCGAUUAAUAGCGGAUCGAGGCGCGGGGAGCGCACCGGUGAGAUUUGACUAAUGCUCGGCAUCGGCGGGGCCCCAGUCAGCGGGAAGCUCAGCCAUGGCUGCUGGGUGCUGGCUGGCCACCGCAACAGCUGAUUGUCAACCUACGCCACGACGCGCUGCAUGCCUACAUACUUUGGUCCUGUUCACUUACCGAAUUUGUCAGCCGUUCCUCACAACAAAUUUAAACUAGUUAGACAUUAUGUUUAUGCUUUUUCUAGGUUUAGGCCUAAUGCUUAGUGAGGUUUGCAUACGUCUUAUCACUAGAUGCUUGUGUGCAGCACUAUUGUACUCAAAGGGGCUUCUGGUCUUGCGAGAUUAUACCAACUGUGCUAGUGGUGUGAUCAUCACCAGUGUAUUAGAGAGAAUGAGGACCGUGGUAUUUUAUCCAGAAGCUUGAUAGUGAUGACAAUAGGAAACGAUCUUAAAAAAAGGCUAUCUUGGAGACCCAGUGGCAAGCGGUAGCAGGCAAACAUCGCACAUUCUACUCCUAGUGUCUAAGAGAUGCGUAUUAAGUAUUAUUAGAUUAAUCGUAGAAUGUAUAAACUUAAAAGUGUUUAAAUCAUCACAAAGUGACGUGAAUUUACUUUUGGAUGAAGAUAUGACGUGACUGGUCUAGUAUGCGUUAAUUGCGCAAAUGCGACGGUGUAACAGUUUCAUUUUUCGUGUAAUAUCUAACAGCCUCCCCACGCUGAUUUUCGUGUGCAAGGACAAAGAUACAUCGCAAAUGGCGGUUCUCAACCUCCUCGCCCUGAUUUUUGCCACGCUACUACUGCUUCUCAGAAGAAGCUCCGGCGCCGGCGCCGGCAUUUCGUCUGACACGCUGAACAACGGGGGCAACAUCACCGAUGGAGAGACGCUGCUCUCCGCCGGUGGCUCAUUCACCCUGGGUUUCUUCUCCACGUCGACCACGGUGCCAACCAAGAGGUACCUCGGGAUCUGGUUCACGGCGUCUGGUACGGACGCCGUCUUGUGGGUGGCCAACCGCGACACGCCGCUGAACACCACCUCCGGCGUCCUGGUGAUGAGUAGCCGGGUGGGCCUUCGCCUUCUCGACGGCUCCGGCCAGACCGCCUGGUCCUCGAACACGACCGGCGUCUCUGCCUCUUCGGUGGCGCAGCUGCUCGAUUCCGGCAACCUCGUCGUGCGCGAGCAGAGCAGCAGCGCCAGCGCCAGCGCCACCUUCCAGUGGCAGUCGUUCGACCACCCGUCGAACACCUUGCUCGCUGGCAUGAGGUUCGGCAAGAACCUAAAGACCGGCGUGGAGUGGUCACUCACGUCGUGGCUGGCGAAGGAUGACCCGGCGACGGGAGCCUACCGUCGGGUCAUGGGCACAAGGGGCCUGCCGGACAUCGUCACUUGGCACGGCAGCGCCAAGAAGUACCGCGCCGGCCCGUGGAACGGUCGCUGGUUCAGCGGCGUGCCGGAGAUGGAUUCACAGUACAAGUUGUUUAACAUCCAGAUGGUGGACGGCCCCGACGAGGUCACCUACGUCCUCAACACCACGGCCGGCACGCCCUUCACCCGCGUCAUGCUGGACGAGGUUGGCAAGGUGCAGGUCCUGUUGUGGAUCUCUUCCAGCCGGGAGUGGAGGGAAUUCCCAUGGUUGCCGCGCGACGCCUGCGACGACUACGCGUUGUGCGGUGCGUUCGGCUUGUGCAACGUCGGCGCCGCGUCGGCGCCGUCCUGCAGCUGCGCCGUGGGGUUCAGCCCCGUGAACUCGUCGGAGUGGUCCAGGAAGGAAUCCUCUGGCGGGUGCCAGAGGGAUGUGCAGCUGGAGUGCGGCAAUGGCACGGCGGCGACGGACCGGUUCACGCUUGUGCCCGGCGUGAAGCUCCCUGACACGGACAACGCGACGGUGGACAUGGGGGCGACGCUGGACCAGUGCAAGGCGAGGUGCCUCGCCAACUGCUCGUGCGUGGCCUAUGCCCCCGCCGACAUCCGAGAGGGUAAUGGCACUGGCUGCGUCAUGUGGACAGAUAACAUCGUUGAUGUCAGGUACAUAGAAAAUGGGCAGGAUCUCUAUCUGAGGUUGGCCAAGUCUGAAUCAGGUAAGGAACAACUGAAGCAGUAACCUAUCUCAAUCAAGAUUCUGAGGCAAAAUCCAUCAUCUUAUCAGCUACUACGAUUAAUACUUCGUGUAAUACAUUUCCGCAGCUACAGGGAAGCGGGGGCGUGUGGCAAAAAUCUUAGUUCCAGUGAUGGUGUCUGUGCUUGUACUCACGGCCGCUGGCCUGUACCUUGUUUGGAUAUGCAAGCUUAGAGGUACAAACAGACUAUCAGAGAGAGCAACUUCACCACGAAGAACAAUUCAGGCACAAUAUUUUUGCACUAGUGUAAGGUUUAUUAAUAACAAUUGGAAUUGCUUUUCUUGUCAGCCAAACGCCGGAACAAGGAUAAUUUGAGGAAAGCGAUCCUAGGAUACUCGACUGCGCCAUAUGAACUCGGUGAUGAAAAUGUAGAGCUUCCAUUUGUCAGCUUUGGAGACAUUGCAGCAGCAACAAACAAUUUUUCUGAGGACAAUAUGCUCGGGCAAGGUGGCUUUGGGAAGGUUUACAAGGUUAGCAAAAUAUACAUCUUUUAAAUAAAACUGUAGAAAUGUGAGAAUUAUGGCACUGCUAGUUCAAUUUAAUAAUGGUGAAACAAUGCAGGGUACCCUGGGACAGAACAUAGAGGUUGCAAUCAAAAGACUCGGUCAAAGUUCAGGACAAGGUGUAGAGGAAUUCAGAAAUGAAGUUGUUCUGAUUGCAAAAUUGCAGCACAGAAACCUGGUUAGGCUUCUUGGAUGCUGCAUCGAUGGGGAUGAGAAGUUGCUGAUUUACGAAUACUUACCAAACAGAAGCUUGGAUUCCAUUAUUUUUGGUAUGUGCAAAAUUAUAUUUUUGUGAUUUUCAGGGAAAAAAAGUUAUGCUUUUUGCAAAACAAAAGAAACAUGUGACAUGGUUACCUUUGGAAUUGCUUACUUUAGAUGCUGCAAGAAAAUAUCUCCUUGAUUGGCCAACACGUUUCAAGAUAAUCAAAGGAGUAUCUAGAGGACUUCUUUAUCUCCACCAGGAUUCAAGGUUGACUAUAAUUCACAGAGAUAUGAAAACGAGUAACAUACUGUUGGAUGCGGAUAUGAGCCCCAAGAUAUCUGAUUUUGGCAUGGCAAGAAUCUUUGGUGGAAACCAGCAUGAAGCUAAUACUAAUCGUGUUGUUGGGACAUAGUGAGUAAUCAUAGCCAUGACUUUUAAAGUGAAUUCUGUUUCCCUAUAUACUCUUCUCAGAUUGUUUACUUCUUUUGAGCAGUGGUUACAUGUCUCCUGAAUAUGCAAUGGAUGGCGCAUUUUCUGUCAAGUCAGAUACAUAUAGCUUCGGUGUCAUAAUCUUGGAGAUUAUAAGUGGCUUGAAGAUCAGUUUAACUCAUUGCAAGGGCUUCCCUAACCUACUGGCUUAUGUAAGUGCGUGGUGUUAUGCUUAAUUUUCUGUCACAGUUCAAGCAACAGCUUUCUAAUUUCUAUAACAUUUGAUCCCAUCGGCUCAUCAGGCAUGGAGCUUAUGGAUAGAUGACAGAGCGAUGGAUCUUGUGGAUUCAUCCCUGGCUAAGAGUUGUUUCCACAAUGAAGCUUUACGGUGUAUCCAGAUCGGAUUAUUGUGUGUGCAAGACAAUCCAGAUAGUAGGCCACUCAUGUCGUCAGUGGUGACCAUGCUUGAGAAUGAAACCACACCAGUUCCGGUACCAAUACAGCCAAUGUAUUUCUCAUACCGGGGAACAACCCAAGGGACAGAAGAAAAUACUAGUAGUUCUACUAAUAACAUGAGCCUCACAACAGUGUUAGAGGGACGCUAGUUGUUUGUAUGUCCGUUUCUGGAAUAGAGAUGUGCAAUAGUGCAUUAGAGCUUAUUUGUUUUAGAGAAGUUAUAUAUUGAUAUUACAUGAAGAUGCAAACAGUGAAAAUUUAAAAAUUAUGAUUUGAAGUUACCUUUGGUUGCAAUUAUGGUACCUCACUUGAGAGUCGUUGGGUAGGCCUCAGAUGUCAGAUUAGCUCGUUGUUAAUGGAGAUUGCAAUGGGGCGUGAUUCUCAAUUAUUUCUCAAUUCUUUAAAAAAAAUAUUCUUCGCAGAGAAUUUUUUUAUUAGCUGACGGGGUUUGUGUAAUUUUUCCCUCAUGGGGGUCUCAAGGGGGGAAGAGCUCAUUCGAUUAGCUUCUUCUAUCCCAUACAUUCUGACGCCACAACUUCCCGCGUCUUGCUCCCGUCCCGCCAGAUCCCAUAGGAUGGUAGUGGGUCAUCAUUUAGAGAAACAUUUUUAUAAAAAAUUGCUUUUUAUAUUUCUUCACUCUCCAACAACUUUCUAUCUCUCAAGCACUCAAGAAUCAUUCUCGUCUUCUAUUUUUAGCUAGUGAAAAUUUCAAAAUAUAAGAUAGCUAUAUUUGUAUAAUCAUUUAGACAAGCUCUUGAAAGGUAACUUUUCACCAAAAUCUCAUCUCUACUAUAAUAGACAAUUUGAAAUUAUAUUAUGUUCACUCAGUAAAAUGUCUCCCGCUGAGAGCCUCUAACUAUUGUGUAUCCAAAAAAAUAUACACAUGAAUUCAUCUCUAUUAGAAUCAAGGGUUAAUAAGAUACUCCCUCCCUCCCAAAUUAUAAGUCAUUCUAAAAAUCUUGGAGAGUCAAAGUUUUUCAAGUUUAACUAAAUUUAUAUAGCAAAAUAAUAAUAUUUUUUAUAGUGUACCUAUUUUAUGACAUCAAUCUUUAUAUUUCUCUCUAUAUUUUUGAUGAAACUUGAAAAUGUUUUGACUCUUCAAGAUUCUUAGAAUGACCUAUAAUUUGGAACGAAUGGAGUACUAAAAUCAGGCUUCGCCCCCCCCCCCCCCCCCCCCCGCGCGCCCUCCAUCCCACGCCUGCAACAUCUAGCCACGGUUCGAUUCCUAUUCCCUUCUGUAUUUGGGCCUUGUUUAGAUGUGAAUUUUUUUUGGAUUUCGCUACUGUAGCACUUUUGUUUGUUUGUGGUAAAUAUUGUCCAAUCAUAGAUUAACUAGAGUCAAAAGAUUCGUCUCACGAUUUACAGACAAACUGUGUAAUUAAUUUUUGUUUUCGUCUAUAUUUAGUGUUUCAUGCAUGUGCCGCAAGAUUCGAUGUGACGAGGAAUCUUGAAAACUUUUUGGAUUUCAGUGAGAACUAAACAAGGCCUUGUUUUCAUGGUUGGUUGGGGCGCGACACUGGACGCGGCGGCGACGGCAGUGGCAGGGCGCCGGCCGCCAGACGCCAGGGCAAGGCCUUUGAACCCCACUCGCGCUCACAGUCUGUACGGCCCUGCUGCCCUAGGACCGCGCCUUCGUCCCUGUCGCGUGUGAGCAUCAGGGUUCAAGGUCAGGUGGCGCUGGCAUCAUCGUUUCCAGGCCUCGCCUCUCCCGAUCCUCACCGUCUCCAGUUCCCGCGGCCCAUGAUCGCGCCUACAUCCCCUUCUCCUAGGCUCGUGAGGACAGCGGUCUUAAGUCCCUAUCUCCACGAUCUGCUGCUUGCUCGGAGUAGAUGCCUCCACGCCGGCGCUGAGGACUUCAUCGUGAGAAGCCUCUCCAGAGCAAGGACAUGCAGCGCCUCUGGAACUGCUCCACUGCCACGAGGCCGUUGUGGCCAAGCGGAAUAACAAGUCGCUGGUGCCGCCGCUGUCAUCGUCGGCGCCACGGCGGGACAACGAGCGAACCUCGUCGAAGUUGCCAUGGUACGUACCUUGCGCCGGCUACCACAACUCGCCCUCGGACAGGAAGGUUAAUUUUUUCCUUGUUUCUCUAAUCGAGUUUGUCUCUGUUCCUUCUGCGUGAGGUGCUGUAGUCGUCGAGCUUGGAGCUCUCGCAGUGCUGGUGUAUGUGUAUAUGGCGUGCUAUGCCAGGUCGAGCUCCUGCACAGAUGGUCAUCGGGCAGCCGCUGCUCGCUUAGCUCUUGUGUGGUGAAGUGAUGAAUAGAAAUGAUUUCCUACUAGAAUUAGGUAGGGGAUUUGCUUCGGUGAAUUAGUGCUAGAGCUCUUAGUGGCUAUUAGGAUUUGUUAUUUUACUAUCAACCUUGCUUAAGUGUUUGUGCACUUUGUAGCAAAUUUUUAUUCGACCAUCGAAGAAAAUUAGCUAUGUGAGUAACACUUUGGCCACAACUACAGCUACACCAGUACAGUGCUUCGUGAGUAGCCACACUACAGCUGUAUCCAAACACCCCAGAACAUCAUAGAUAAUUCGCUACUGCGCUUUCUUGUAGAUUCUUUUUCACUUUUCAAACCUUUAUAAGAUCUAUAUAAAACAAACCUUUUUUAUAGUCUAUAAAAGAAAUAAAAAGGAUAAAAAAAAUAAAAGAAGAAGAAAGGCCACAUAAAAUUAAAAAGAAAGGGGAAGCAAAUGAAAACAAAAUAAAACAAGCAAUUCUUCUAAUGGGUCUAGUUCUGUUUGGAUGGCAUCUACAGGUGGCCACAUCCGGCACGUGCCACAGCAUCUUCAACCGUUCGAUGACUUUUUCUAAGUGGCUAAAAAAAAUUAGGAGUAUAUUUAUUGGCUUCCUCCAUAGUUUCUAAAAUCCUGGUCCUAAAAUAUAAAUAACAACUUUGCAUUAGGAAUCCCAGGCUAUUUCUGAAUCACCCUAACCACUUAUAUUUUUCUCUCUUAUACAUUUAUUAAGAACAAUGUCCUACUUUUUAUUUUUCCCACGUCUUUCCACCUUCAAACUGACCGAUUAAUCAGCGCAUAUAUACGUACGCAAUUAGAUGGACUUUUCCCAAGUGCUAAAAGAUUGAUAGUGGAGACUAAAACACACUUAGGAAGCGUUUGGCUAGAAGACAAUGUAGAGUAGAAUGGUCUUGCCUCCGGUUUGUAGCACGAGACAAACAACCCAUUUUCUAUUUGGUUGAGGAAGGAUGAGACAUACCUAUUUUCUGUUUGGUAUAGAUACAACAAAAAGUGGGACUAGCAACUGACAGGUGGAGCUUAUUUGUAAGUUACUUUAAUUUUCUUUUGUCAUCCUUCUAUCCUUAUCUCCUUUGUCCCCAACCACCGUCCAACACCAUUUAGACCUCAUACGAGCAGGAGUGCAACGACAAAGCUCCCUCACUCGGUCCAUCCGUGUGUGUCUCCUCAUGCUCGCCCUGCCCGCACACGGCUCCUCGCGCCGCCAACUCCCGUGAGUGACCCCUCGCGUCGUUGCCCACCGCCGACCAGAGCCCUCAUACUCACCCUUGCCCCGUACGCGGCCAUGCCCUAGAGCCCUGUGCUCGGUUCUCCUCUUCCUCCUUUGCUCAUGCGCUCGCAGGGCUAGACUUGGAGGUCACGCAGCGGCAGCAGGCAAGACCUGGAGCUUGCGCGACGCUCUUCUUCCUCAAUAGCAGCCCCUCCCUUCUCUUCUUCCUCUGACCACACACGCAUACACUUGAGUGUUGAGUCCAACGAUUGUCCCUCUUCUUUUUCGAGAGCACACUCGAGGGCGUGUAUUUUAUUAGGAAAGAGUACAACCAACUAGGUUACCAGCACCUACUAGCUACUGGAAUAACCGCUGACGCACUACAAGGUCACACCCUCUUCACGUGACUCUGUCCGCCCAAUUUCUAGGGGUAGGUCGUCAUCCCGAAUUAGAUGGAAUAUACUCUAGUGAGAUCGUCCCACCCCUCCUUGAUUCCAGCAUCAAAAGAGAGAUCAUCCCAUCCCAUCUCACCUCAUCCCAGCACUAAACAAACGGCACCUUAAGAGGCUUCGUAAACAAAGAACUUAAAUAUAUACGGUUAUUGACUUAGGAUAAAGUUAAAAUAACACUAUUUUUCGAAUGUGUCAAUACAAUGCUACGGUUGAUAGAAGUGUCCUGGCACGAGCAAUGGCAAUAUAUACACAUGCAUCUAGCUCUCCUCUAGCAGUGUCACCGCACGAAGCACAUCAUCCACUCUACAGAACGGCGUCGGCGGGGGUUAAGCAUCCGUACACUGGGAUCGCAUGGAAGAAUACGGCCACCGGUGCUACUGGCACCGCCAAGAAUACAGCAGUAGCAGGCGGAGGGAACACCUGGAUCCUCUGCUGCCCUGCGCUAUCUGCUUGGGCAACACAAGUCGCACCACGUGCUGUGUAUUCCGUCGUCGCAGAGGCAGAGCUCUGUGCCGCCGCAAUCGCUGCCAGUGCGUCGAAUCCGCUAUCAUGUUGUCCCGUCGAAGCAAACGACGGUGAUGCCACUGACGAAGAGGCGGCAGAGGCAGCGUUCCCCGUAGCCGAGCGCUGCGCAGCCGCGAUUUCUGCAAGGGCUUCGAAUCCACUGUCAACUUGGGUUGCCGAGCCUUCGUCACUUGACAAUGUCAUCGAUGAAGCCGGCGUGAAAGUGGAAAGCGCCAUGGCGCUCUGCGCCCUUGGGAGGUUGAACGCCACACCGCGUCGUCCUUGCUUCGAAGUCUCCAGCAGCGACGGCGACGACGCUGGCCGUGGGAUGCCAUCCGGCGGUGUGAGCCGCGGUGGUGCGUUGAUGGGGUAGAGGAAUGCCCGGACGCGGCCGUCCCUGGAGGCCAGGCCAUUGCAGCAGUAGAGGCGCGUCACGAGUACCCACAGAUCGUGGUCGUCCGCCACGUCGUGGAGCGUGUCCAGUCCGCCGUCGCCACCGGGGCCGGCAACCGCGUAUUGGAUGUGAACGUCGGAGUAGCCCGCCAGCGCUGCCAACCGUGCGCGAAGCUCGCUCAGGCGCUCAGACAUGCCGACCCGGACGAUCCGGUUCUCGCCACCGGCGUACCUCGUCUUGCCGGUGUCGGAGCAGCUCAUGAUCUCCCCGCCGUAGCUGACGACCAUCUUCACCGAGGAGCUGCCGUCGGCAGCCAUGUCCAGUACCAUCGGAGGCCCGACUCGUCGCGAGUGGUACGUCUUGCUAUUCGAGGAUCAAGGAAGAUAGGGGAAGUUUGUUGUUGGUCGAUGUCCUUCUUACGUUCGUCAGUUCGUGGACCGACUAAUCCUUUUAUAGCAAGCGGUUACGAUUCCGAGUAGCACGCGGAGGACUACAGCGUGCACGAGUCACUUACCGGAGAGCGACAAAGUUUAGGAUUGCUAAUCAUAUCUUGAGUCGGAGAUAAUCAGAUUCAGCCGGAGAUAUAUACUCGGUGAAAACGAUACUCUUGUUGCCUGCCGAACAAUUUCCGAAUUAAUCGAACAAAAACCAACAGUGAUCUAAGAAAUCGAGAUUGGAAGUGGGUUUAGAAACUCUUGGAGCUGAGCAACUCUAGCGGAUUAGCUAUUCUUAUUGUGGAGACUUUUCUAGAAUUUAUAUAGCAAAAAUUAGCUCCAACAGAUGUGUUAUAUAAUUUUGUAAAAUAGAAAACUAGUUAUCUCUUGAUUUUCGGUGGCCAUAUAUAGCCAACCACAGACACUGACUACAUGACUUUGUAAAAAUAGCAAAAGUUGUAAAUCUCUUCUCUUUUUUGAGAAGUUUUCUAUUUUAUAAAAUGACUAAAUAUUUGGCAAUUAAUUUUAGCUAAGCUAUUAAGUUGCUCUAGGCAAUUAUUUUCCGGUCAGAUUUGUGGCAUGCCAAACUUAUGAAGUUGUUCCUUUAAUUUAUUUUGAUGCCAUUUCUCGCAAAAAAAAAUAGCGUUGAAAAACAACGCUACAUCACUUCGGGCAUCACCAGAGUCUUUUUUUUUUAAAAAAAAAAAAGCAAAGCCACCAAAGGCGCCUGGGUGUGGCUACCUCUGGAAACGAAGCAAACCAGGCCUAAAGCACGCAUUUAAAUGGGCCUUCAAACUGGCCAUAUAAUUGCUUGGCCGAGAUAAAUCGACUAGUGGGCCGAUCGAAUUAGGCAUUGUUUAAUUCACACCAAAAAUAAAAAAAAUUAAAAUUUUUCGUAACAUCGAAUCUUACACCAUAAACAUAAAACAUUAAAUAUAGUUAAAAAUAAAAACUAAUUACAUAGUUUACCUGUAAAUUACGAGAUAAAUCGUCUAAGUCUAGUUAGUUCAUGAUUGGACAAUAAUUAUCAAAUAAAAACAAAAAUACUAUAUUACCCAAAACUAAUUUUUUUUUUAAAAACUAAACAAGGUCUUAAUGUGGAGGAUCAGAAGAAAGAGGAGGUGGCGGGUGGUGACUAGUUGGCGCUGUUAGAGGAACUCCAACACUACCCUAAACUUCACUUGGCAAAUCUUGGAUUUUGCCAAGUGUAAAGCUCAAAUGCCAAGUGAAAAAAAGAGGCUUCUCCAACAGUUAGCUAUUUUUUUGACAAAUUUGGACUAUCUUGUGAUUCCUGAAAAAAUCAGAUGGACUUUUAUACAAAAGUUGCAAUCUAUUUAAGGCAUGCGUGCAUACUGAAUGUGUUGGUCCCACCGCGUAGGCAGGAUGCCAAGCGCUCCCAACGCUCCUAAAUUUGAGCCAGUUGGCUCUCUUUUUGCCAAGCAUACUAUUUUGCCAAGUGCAUAUAGGAUAGUGUUGGAGGAGCUUUUUCCAUGUUUUGCCAAAAAUUAGGAUUUGCCAAGUAUAUAUAUAUAUAUAUAAUAGUGUUGGAGUUUGCUCUUAGCUGUACUCGGGAAGAUCGGUGGGAUCGGACGCGGUGGCUUGGGCGCCGGGGUCGCAAUCUCAUCUCUCCAUUCAGCCGGCGUCCGCCAGCACCGGUGGCAGCGAGCGCACCGUAUAUGAUCUAUAUAACUUUAUAAUUUUAUAUAACUUUAUAAUUUUAUAGUUGAAAAGUUUUUAAUUACUAUAGUUUAGAGUCCCAAAAAUUAAUCUAAGUUGACAGAUUUUGAAAUGAAAUUUAUUGUUUUUCAAACAACCUCGGAUGUUAAUAUGAUUUGUAUCAAAGUUAUAGAUAUCAAUACGUUCUACAACUUUGUAGUAGAAAACCUUUUAGUUUAAAGCCAUUUAGAGUUCCAAAUAUGUGUAAUACGUUUAAAAAUUAAAUUAAAAAAUUCUUAAACAACCUUAAAUGUUCUCACGGUUAAUACCAAACUUGUAGUGACCGGCUUGAUCUACAUGUUUUCUACUGAUUAGUUUUGAUUUGAUGUUUUUUUUGCCUCAAAUACUUGUUUUAAAUUCAUAUAUCUUGAGAUUUAAUUUUUGAAAAAUUUCAAUGUCUCGCAUGGAGACACAUCAUUCAACAAGGUUGUAGUGCUUGACAAGAUUGAAAACUUAAAUUUUUUCAUUUAAGUUUAUUUAGUAGCCAAAAUAUUUAAUAUAAAAUUAGAAAAUAUUUAUAUCAAAAAAUAGAAUCCUAUAUAUACUGACAAUCAUUGGCAUGAAUGUUGGGUUGUAGGCCACGUGACUUUAGUCCUAGCUAGGAAUGCCAUAUUUUUUGGUUUUUGCGUUUUACGGGAACCACUAACGGAUAGGGGUUAAUCAAUUUUCAGAGACAACUACUUUUACCGUCUCUAUAAAUGACGCAGUGACAUUUGGAUGGAGGGAAUAACAACCUCCCAGUCUCUGUAAAUUUCUGCAACGUUGCAAUGGGUUGACUAGGCACCUUAAUGGAUUGGAACUCACCACAAGUGCUGCUAGGCUUGCUUGAGAGAACACAUAUACUCCGUAUAAUUUAGUUUGUUCUCAUCAAACUAUUUCAGAUUUAACAAAACUAUUGAAAAAAAUGUCAAUAUUAUUUAUGAUACUAAGUAUAGAUAUAUCAUAAAAAAUAUAUUAUAGGGUGAAUCCAAAUAAUUAUUUGGCAUUUUUUAGAUUACAAAUUAUUUGGCAUCUAGACAUUAACAAUUCUAUGUACGAAUUUACCCAAACUUAAAAUGUUUUAUUUAUAUGAUAAAAGUAUAAUUGUAUAUUUUUAUAGAACAGAUUAGUAGUAGUUCUUUAAAGAAAAAAAGUAGUAGUGUUUUUCUAGUUCUAGGCCGACUCUUUGUGGGGGCCAAGGAAUAUCUAGAGGUUCGGCCCAGCCCAAUAGCCCACUUGUUUCUCCUCCGUCAGACCGUUGAGUGCACGUCGAUCUACAAUUUGGAGCCUGUCGCCCAGCGCCAUCGUCGUACUUCGGCCAGGUCGCCGGCGCUAAGAGGGCGGCAGGGCGCCAAAUCGAGUGAACAGCCGGCCGCCGGCGCUCUUGCGAACGAUACCGCGACGGUGAGCCCGCACGCGCACGACCGCACCACCGGUUUUUGACUUCUCCAUGCAUCCAGGGAUUCAGUCCUGUCCUGUGCCAUCAAUCAGCAUCCGCCGGAGGUGAGAAGUGACUGGCAUUACGUGAGUUGAAAUUCUAGGUCCGCCGCUGAAUUCUUAGUCAACAAAUACGCAUCAGUCCGUCAAAUACGCUACGCUAGCUAGGACGUACGUGCUAUACCUGACUAGCAAUGCCUCUUUUGUAUGGUGUGCAACAACCCUGGCCCCUGGACGUGCUAUACCUAGCUAGCCAGGCAAAGUCAUCAAUCAAAUACCAUGAUGUUGCAUCAGUUAUCUCUCACGUUGGAAUAGUAAGUAGAGCUGCACUUGAUAAGGAUGCUCGUAUAUAUAUAGUCAUAUACUCCUAUGUGACGAUUAAGUCCUUAGUAACGAUGGCAACUGGUGACAUGGUCAGUCUUCUGUCUCUUGGACAGUCCGACGAAUUCUUAGGUCUCAGUCUCACACCGCGUGGCCCGAAGUUGUUUGGCAAUUAUUAGGAGCCAAGAAGAUCAUCGAGGUUAGAAACUCUCUAACAUUUCGGUACAAAAACUAAUCUUGAUUUUUUUUCUAUAAGACUAGAAAAGCCUAUCUCCAAUGAUUUUCAAUUUUAACUCUCCAUCUGUCCGUACUUAGAAAACAAAAGAAGGCAUCCAUAUGCGCAUGACUGCUACUCCUAUGGGGCAUUUUUUUUCAUGGGCACUCUGACCGUGGCUUCCUAGAAGUUCACUAGAAUUGAAUCUAUGGUCACUAUUUUCACAUAUGAGAAAACUAAGAAAUAGAACAAGCAAAAGAGAUUUUCAUGGGGCUGGGGUCGUCGAUGGCGGAGACGGCCUCCAGGGUGCAUGGAGGCGGUGACAUCUGCCCUCGGUGGCGCACGAACUGUGGAGACACGGGCGGUGUUGGCUAAGCGCCAUGGCCCGCAUGAGGGGGAGGAGUGGACGGGGUGACACGUGGGGCAGGAGGGGGUUGAGGGCAUGCAGGGCAGGUCACAAGAACCUCCUUUGGCGUCGGUGGCGGUGUGGCCAACGAUGGGGAGGAGGCCAAAUGGGGGUGACACGCGGUGGGGAGGGGGAGGGUGCCGGUGCUGAUGGCAGCGACGAGGAGGUGGCGGACACUAGGGAUUAGGGUUGCGAGGCUUUCUCUCACAUUCUCUCUCUCUCUCUCUCUCUCUCUCUCUUACCCGGCUGUCAUUCUAGCUUAAAUCAUCAUUGGAGAGUAGUUUGAAUUAAAACCGGUUUCUAUAUCAUAUAUUUCCACUCUUCAACAUCUUUUUUAUAUCUUAUGCGCAUUCUAGAGAGCCAUCUUCGCUCUUUAUCUUUGGCUAGUGAGAAAUUCAAAAUAGAUGGUGAGUAUAUUUAGAUAUCCAAAUAAACAAGUAUCUUGAAGUUGCUGUAACAAGUACCAAACAUACGUUGCACGUCACGAGGUAGCGCUUUCCCAUUAUUCAUAGCAGCUGGACCUCGAUCGUGGACUCUGAGUUCAUGAAAUUCCAGUCAUAACUGCUGAUUCAGUCAGUCAGCGCGUCUACUUAUAAUGUGGAAACAUGAUGACAUAAUGCGCACGUUUUUUAAAUUCUACAAUCCAAAUCUUCUUACUUACUAGUAGCAUCUUGUGAGACCCUCUUGUGCAAGGACAAGGAGUAUCACUGGUCAUGGCGGCAGCAACAAUCAAAUUUCUCUACCGUCUUGCUCUGGUACUCUCCGUGCUCCUUACCUCCGCCGCCGGCAUUGUGUCUAACACAACGCUCGUCAACAAUGGCGCCAACAUCACCGAUGGCGAGACGAUGGUAUCUGACGGUGGCUCAUUCACGCUGGGGUUCUUCGCCCCGACCGGGGCGCCAACCAAGAGAUACCUCGGAAUCUGGUUCACCGCGUCCCCGGAGGCUGUCUGCUGGGUGGCCAACCGUGAUAGACCACUCAACGACACCUCCGGCGUACUGGUGUUCGGCAGCGCUCGGGGCCUUCUCCUUCUCGACGGCUCUGGCCAGACCGCGUGGUCUUCCAACACGACGGCCACCUCUGCGCCUGCGGUGACCCAGCUGCUUGAGUCAGGCAACCUGGUCGUGGGCGAGCAGAGCAGCGGCAGCAUCCUCUGGCAAUCGUUCGACCAUCCGUCGAACACCUUGCUCCCCGGCAUGAGGCUCGGCAAGAACCCACAGACCGGAGACGAGUGGUCUCUCACGUCGUGGCGUGCGCCAAACGAUCCGAGUCCAGGGGACCAUCACCUGGUACUGGACACCCAGGCCCUGCCGGCGGCGAUCGUCUUGUGGCAAGGCAACGUCAAGACGUACACGACGGGCCCUUGGAACGGCCUGAGGUUCAGCGGCAUCCCGGAGAUAGCUUCGUACUCCGGGAUGUUAUCGGUCCAGGUUGUUGUCCGCCCCGACGAGGUGGCCUACAUCGUCACCACCAUGCCCGACGCGCCCUUCUCACGCCUCGUAGUGAACGACGACGGAACGGUGGAGCGUCUGGCGUGGGAGCCGGUCAGCCGGACCUGGAACGUCUGGAUGCGGUCGCCAAGGGACCUCUGCGACAGCUACGCCAAGUGCGGCGCGUUCGGCCUGUGCAACUCGGCCACCGCGUCGACGCAGUUCUGCAGCUGCAUAGACGGGUUCAGCCCCGCAUCUCCGUCACAGUGGUACAUGAGGGAGACCUCCGAUGGUUGCCGUCGGCGCACGCCGCUGGACUGCAGCAACGGGACGACGACGGAUGGGUUCAUGGUGUUGGGAGGAGUGAAACUCCCUGACACGGACAACGCGACGGUGGACAUGAGCGCGACGCUGGAGCAGUGCAGGGCGAGGUGCCUUGCCAACUGCUCCUGCGUGGCCUACGCCGCCGCCGACAUCCGAGGAGGCGGUGAUGGCAGUGGCUGCGUCAUGUGGACGGAUGGCGUCGUGGACGUUCGUUACGUGGACAAAGGGCAGGAUCUCUAUGUGAGGCUGGCAAAAUCUGAAUUUGGUAAGCAGAAAACUGCACCCGUUACUAUGCUAUGCUAUCCAUCCCACUCUAGAUUUACACAUUCUUCAUCUUGUCAACUACGUACGAUUUAAUAUUCUUUGUAACACAUUUCUGCAGCUGCAGGGAAGAGGAGGGAUGUGGCAAGAAUCGUGCUUCCAGUAACGGUAUCUCUGCUUGCACUCACGUCUGCGGCCAUGUACCUUGUUUGGAUAUGCAGGGUUAGAGGUAGAGCCACUCGAUUGGCAUUCCUUCAAGCGGCCGAACGUCCAAACAGUGAUGAAGCGAUGAUAGGUUCCUUAAGCGCGCCAAAUGACCUUGGUGAUGAUGAUUUUGAUCUUCCAUUUGUUAGCUUUGGAGAUAUUGUUUCUGCAACUAACAAUUUUUCUGAGCACAAUAAGCUCGGACAAGGAGGGUUCGGGAAGGUUUAUAAGGUAACCACAGUAAAAUUUCUACAAAACUACAGUACUAAGAAACUUUAUCAUUGUUUGUUGAGUAUAAGAACGACAAAAUCAUGCAGGGCAUGCUGGACGAUAACAAAGAAGUUGCAAUUAAGAGGCUUGGUAAGGGUUCUAGACAAGGAGCAGAGGAAUUCAGAAAUGAAGUGCUUCUAAUAGCCAAAUUGCAGCACAGAAACCUGGUAAGACUUCUUGGUUACUGCAUCCAUGGAGACGAGAAGCUGCUGGUUUACGAGUAUUUACCAAACAAAAGCUUGGAUUCCUUCAUUUUUGGUAUGUUUAGACUAAAUUGCAUUUAGCAAGUGUAGACAAAUAGUCAUAGUUACCACUUAAUUGCCACUGGAAUUUUCUUGCUUACUCACAAUACUGUACAGAUGCUGCCGGUAAACAUGUUGUUGAUUGGCCAACAAGGUUCAAGAUAAUCAAAGGAGUAUCUAGAGGAAUUCUUUAUCUCCAUCAGGAUUCGAGGUUGACUGUAAUUCACAGAGAUCUAAAGUCAAGCAACAUACUGUUAGAUACAGAUAUGAGUCCUAAGAUAUCGGAUUUUGGUAUGGCACGAAUCUUCAGUGGAAAUGGACAAGAAGAAAAUACUAAUCGAGUUGUUGGGACGUAGUGAGUAAUUAAUAUGCAUUGAUGUUUGAAACUAAUUUUUAUUUUUCAGUAUCUAUCCUAAUUAUUUAUUACUUAGCGCUAUGAUUUUUAUGCAUAACAGUGGUUACAUGUCUCCUGAAUAUGCCAUGGAUGGCAUCUUUUCUAUCAAGUCUGAUACAUAUAGCUUUGGUGUCAUACUCUUGGAGAUUAUAAGUGGUUUGAGCAUCACUGCAACUCGAUUCACCGGCUUUCCUAACUUAUUAGCUUACGUAAGUAUGCUAACAUUCGUGAAUUUGUUAAGGUAAUUAAAAAAGAAAACGUUUUUGUUAUAAUAAAAUUAUAUAAUAUCUUAUAUGCGAUUGAUUCCAUUUGGUUUAGGCAUGGAGCUUAUGGCAAGAUGAUAAGGCAAUUGAUAUGGUGGAUUCAGCCCUUUCAGGGACUUGUUCGCCAAAUGAAGUUUUACGGUGCAUCCAAAUAGGACUCUUGUGUGUGCAAGACAAUCCAUACAAUAGACCUCUUAUGUCAUCGGUUGUGUUCAUGUUGGAAAAUGAAACCACACCACUCUCGGUCCCAAUACAACCCAUGUAUUUCUCACAAAGGUAUUUAGAUGACCACGGAAUAGGAGAAAAUAGUAUCAGCUCUUCUGUGAAUGACAUGAGUGUCACGGUGUUGGAGGGACGGUAGAUGGUUAAUUUGUUACACAUGAAUGCUAGUAUGUGUAAAUCACCUUUUUCUUACAUAAUAGAUGCAUGAUUUCUUUGUUAUUUUUUUGCGAUAGGAUAUGUGUAUCUUGUGUAUGAGCUUGUACAAUAUUUUGGUCGAUAGUUACAUUAAAUCAGCGCCAUGGAUAGAGCAGGUGGCAUUUAUGGCUUUUUGGAAGCCUGGUUUUCGAGCCCAAAACUAGCGUAAAA
rnacentral:lncRNA from 1 species